rnacentral:lncRNA from 1 species
UUUUUUUUUUUUUUUUGUUUGAACAAUAAAUAAGAAGUGUGGAAGCAGGAUACUAUUUCCAAGAAAAUAUAAUAUAUAAAUAAGAAAUAAAAAAAUUAAAAUGGGUCAUGUUUGGUGGAACACUAUUGAAUAAUAUUUGAUAUGACCACUAAUCAAACUAAUAGAUAUCUACCUUUUACUGUCUAGUUUCUUCAAGAUUGAGUAUAAAGAAGCUCAAAUGUGCUAUACAUGCCUGUUGUCUAAGAUAAUAGAAUGUGGGUGAGACAAUUAAUUAACUAGGAGCCAAAGUUAACAAUCGUUGGAUACUCAAUUGAUAAAAGCCAGUUUUAAAGAUUUUUGGGCAAAUUAAUUUUGGGAUCAAAUUGGUUGAACUCCAAAAUUAGUUUGUUCAAAAAUCACACAUUUUUAUGGCAAGAAUCAAACAAACAUGCAUUUUGUAAAAUUUUGGUGAAUUUGUUUGUAUGAAUUUGUAUGAAUUUUUGCUUUGUUUCUUCGUGAACUAUUACUAUGCUUUCUUAUAAAAUUUUCAGUAACCAUUCACUCAAUUAAUUACUUUUAAUGCAUUCUUGAAUUUCUAACCAUUUUGUUUGAUAAUUAAAUUAAAUUUGAUUAUUUAAGUAUUUAAUAAUUCAAUAAAAAUCGACCAAUUCAACUUGGAUUAAAAUAAAUCCAAAAUUCUUUCUAUUUUUUUCGGAAUUUUGGAUCAACAUAUCGUCCUUAUAAUUUAAUUAAAUCACCUCUCCUUAUAUUUCAUUAUCAAUAUAUAUCAUAUUAGAUAUCCACCCCAUUUUUUAUUAUUAUUCUAAAUCAGAUCAAAUCCCAUAAUUACUGUUGAGAAUAUCUUCUACUUCACUUCCAAAUUAAAUCAAAUCUUACCUUCAUAUAUUUCAUCAUCAAUAAAUCAUAUUAGCUCAAAAGAAAUCACCCUAUAUUCUCAAUCUGUGAAGUUUGUUAGUGUCAACGUUUUAUGCUCUACUUAUCUGUAAGCCGGAGUUAUCGUUUUUUAUUCCUUUCACAUCUCCAAUGUACAUAGUGAUUUUUUUUUCAUCAUCAUCAGCUGUAAUUUUGAUUUGGUUUUGUGUUUUUGUAGCAGUGGUGGGAUGAGGUUGAGGAGCCACAAGAAGGGAAAGGAUUCAUGGGUUGAGUGCAUUUCUGGGAGCCUAGAGCUUUCAUUUACCAUAAUUUCUUGGUAAUCAGUUAACACCCCUUCAGUAACCCAUUUAUUUUCUGCUUUUAGUUUUUAAUUAUGUGUUACAAGAACAGUCGGAGAAAGAAUGCUCGCAGUUGAUUAAUCUUGCAAAGCCUCGCAUGGAGAGAUCACUUGUGAGUGCCCAAAAUACUAAUUGGGAAGGUGUAGUGAGUAGGUCGAUCUACCAUUUGUUUCUCUCACUUAUUUUAUAAAAAUUGUAUAGUUUUCAUUGAUAUAUAUUACUUAUUUGUUAAUAUUCAAUAAUUUCAUGUGUUCAUGAUCACAGCCGUCGCACCAGUUCAGGUAGGUUUCUUGCUAAAGGGCAGAACCAACUCGUCCGUAGAAUAGAGAAAAGAAUAGCAGAAUUUACAUUCAUUCCCGUAGGUAAUGAAAAACAAAAUAAAUAAAAUUCUAAAUUUAAUUCAUAAUAACGUCAACCCAAACAUACAUUUUAGUAUUGAUCAUAUAUUCACAAAUUUCAAACAGAAAAUGGAGAAGGAUUGAGUAUUCUACAUUAUGAAGUUGGGCAGAAGUUUGAACCUCAUCAUGAUUACACUCAUCCUGAUUCAUUCAGCUUUAAAAGUUUGGGCCAAAGAAAUGCCACCCUCGUCAUGUAUCUGUAAGAUUCUACUCACCCCUAAUCUGAUUGAAAUGUAACACAACUAUCCAAUAAUGCAUGUUGAAUUGUAACACAUUAAACUCGUUUCAGUUUCCUUGAUACUGAUACGAAUGCAGGUCGGGUGUCAAAGAAGGGGGUGCGACGGUAUUCCCGGAGGCGAAAAAAUGCGCCAGCUCUGCACGACGAUGGUGGAAGAAACUGCCUGAGUAUGGUAAAGAUAAUGGACUCUCCGUAAAACCAAAGAUGGGAGAUGCUUUAUUGUUUUGGAGCGUGAAACCUGAUGGUACAUUGGAUCCUACAAGUUUGCAUGGUUAGUGAUCUUUACUUCACCAAAAUCUUUUAUAUGUAUAAUUCCAUCUGUUUUAUUAUUAUUAUUUACAUAUGAUGAGAGUUACAAAAUCAGAAUACUGUCAUAAGGUAUGGAAGAAAUUAUGAAUCUGAAAUCCAUCUUUGUAUGGUUGUUUUUGGUAAAAGAACAAAAAUAUUGUUUUGUGGCUUAUUUAUUUUUGAGUGUACGUUCAUCACAACUUCUGAUAUAUAUAUAUAUGUAUAUUGGUGGUAUAUAGCUUCUUCUCCAGUUGUAAAGGGAGACAAAUGGGUUGGUGUAAAGCUGAUGCAUGUUAAAGCUAAAGAUUUAACUCAAGAAGUUAUGUAUAUAUUUAUAAUUCUUAAUUGUAUUUAGAUUAAAUUUUCGUUUUAUUUUGUGUGAUAUUUGAUCUGAUUUUAAGAGGGAUUAUUUUGAAAUUGCAGGGCUAAUAGAUGCAGAAGUACAUCUAAUAGAUGAUGGAAAGAAAACUCAUUUUCUGUUAGAUGAGUUCACAGGUUGUAUGAUAUUUGGUUAUUAGUUGCUCAGCUCCUUCUUGACGUAUUUAGUUAUGAGAAGUUCUUCAUUUAAUUUGCUUAUAAAAAACUAAUCAUUCAAAAGUUGAUAUUUUUGACCCUGUGAUAGAGAUAUUUGGAAGAACUAAUUAGGUCCCUUCAGAAUCGGAGAUGUUACCAUCAAUAAUAAAAGAAGGUUGAAGUUAGCAGUCAUUCAAUAAAUUUUAUCUUUUAAUAGUUUAAUAGAUCGUCAUAUUAUAAUUUUCAUUUUCAUUUAAAAUUCUAAUGGAUUAUAUUUAAAUAGUUUUUGUAACAUUUAUUAAAGGUUAAACAUUACAACUUUUGGAAGGAUACUUAAAACUUUUUUUUUUUUUGUAACAAUUUGUUUUCAAAUUUAAUUUUAUAAAUAUACUUUCGUAUCUAAAUUUCUUUAUUUUUCUUUAUUUGUUAUCUACUUUUAAAGGGAUGCUCUCAAUUUGAAAACUAAAAAAAAUUGAAAACUAAAAAAAUAUUAGUUUUCAACAAUAUUUUUGUUUUUAAAAUUUGAUUAAGAAUUGAAAUAGUUGAAUUUUAAGAAUACCGUUGGUUUUCAAAAUAAAAAACUAAAAACAAAAUGGACAACGAAACCAUUAAAAAGAAAAAAGAAACAGCCUUGAAGCAAAACACAUAGAGAAAAUCAAAAUCAUAAGACUAUUGGCGAACACAAAUCCAAUCCUUGAAUUACCUACCAAAAUUUCUCUCCCACUUUCUUCCAUGGAUAAUUUUCUGAGAUGCCACUUACUAUAUAUUCAGUUUCCCAGGCCCCACUUACUAUAUAUUUAUUUUCCUCUCAAUUCCACCACCCAUGUUUGUUUCAGGAUCGCCUUGUUGGUUUGAUUCUUUUGUAGCCUCUUCAUUCUGUCAAUGGCAGUAUCUAUACGCAAAUACAUCAAGUUACAGGGUAAGAAAUGGUCCACAUUUCAGCUUUCGAAGAUGAUCAUGGCCCUCGUUUUGGCACUUGGGUUUUUCAUGCUUAUUGCUCUUCGCUUCUUAUCUCCUCCUGAAACUUCUCACCACCGUUUCUCUUCCGUCCGGCAUACAGCAUUUCUAAGGUAGUCCGGUAAUGCAAUGGGUGUGAUUCUUUAAGCUUGUUUCUUACAUGAAUCAACUGAUUUCGAUUUCCAUUUUGGUAAUAUUGUUGUUGUUGUAGUGAUGGGUUGGGGAAGAGAGGAGAUCAGUGGGUUGAGUUCAUUUCUUGGGAGCCUAGAGCUUUUGUAUAUCAUAAUUUCUUGGUAAGUUUCUAGAAUUGUGGUUUUUUUUUUUUCUGGAAAAAAAAAAGGAAAAUUUGUUUUGUUUUGUUAAAAUGGUUGGUUGAUAUUGGAAUGGUGUUGGACAGUCCAAGGAAGAAUGCUUGUACUUGAUUAGUCUUGCAAAACCUCACAUGGAGAAAUCAACUGUGGUUGAUAACGAAACUGGCAAGAAUGUGGAAGACAGGUAUAUAUUUGUUAUUUUCUUUGUUGUCCUGUUACUAACAGAAACAGAACUUGUCAAUUAUUGACUAUGAACUAACUCUGGUGGGGCUUACACUAUGACACAUUUAAAAGUGUAAGAAAAAGUAAUCUCAAAGAGAGUGAAUUUGAACUAAACUCAUAUUUUAAAUAUGAUUUAUCUAUAUUUAGUCGUUUCUCAUAAGUUAUCUCUUUAGGAAUUGAUUGGUCGGUUCGGUUCUUGAAAAAUCUGUUCAGUAAAAGUCCAACCUGAACUGACCACAAUAGAAUGUGUAUAAUAGAAGGGUAUAAAGUAGAACAAUACAAUUACAAUGAACAAGGCAAACUUAUAAUUUUUUGCGGUACAAUGUCAUGUCCACAGUGUGCGAACCAGUUCUGGGAUGUUUCUGAAUAGAGGGCAGGACAAAAUCGUCAGUAACAUAGAGAAAAGAAUAGCAGAUUUUACUUUCAUUCCUAUAGGUAAAUAAUUCAAAACUUUCAUAUCACCAUGGCUAAUUUCUGAAGCAUUUUGUGAUAAUUCCUAUAUGUAAGAACUUAUUUAGGAAUACUUUUCAAAACAGUUUUUGAAAACAUGUUGGAAUCACCAUUUUUGCUAGUUGUUUUAUUUUGUCUGUGUUAGUGAUUUCAUUCAAUACAUCAAUCUUUACAAUGCAUUCAAUUGUAGUUAUAUUGAAUAGUUCUUCAAAAUAGAGUUGCAACCAGAACAUAAUUCUCAGACUAACCAGACAUUGGCGAAAAAUUAGUUAAUUUCAUGUGGGAUUUUGUUCACCAUUCUUGUCUUUUGGCCCAAACCAAAAAAGGGCUUUGGUGAAUGAGCUAUUCAUUUGCGGCUUGUUGUUUUGUUGAUGUCACUGACAUUUUUUGUCUUAAUACAUUUUGUUUCUGAUGUUGCAAUUCACAAUUUGAAACAGAGCCAUACAGAGUAUGUGAACAGCAUUCAUUUCUCUUUGUUUUUGUUUAUUUUAUUUUAUUUUUGUUUUCCUCGUGGGAUGGUAGACCAAACCUUGACUUCUAAGAAAAAAGACCGUGCCAAUUAUCGUUGAACUAAGGUGUUAUUACAUUUUGGUCUGAAGAGGAUUGUUUUUGUUAAAGAAUAAAUAAAUUUUGGUACUGAUAUUCACAAUUCCAAACAGAGCAUGGAGAAGGACUUCAAAUUCUCCAUUAUGAAGUUGGGCAGAAGUAUGAUGCGCAUUAUGAUUUCUUUGAUGAUGAGUUCAACCUCAAAGAAAUAGGCCAAAGAAUGGCCACCCUCCUCAUGUAUUUGUAAGAUUCUAAUUUGACAAUCUCUCAAACUCAUCUAACCUCUUCCCUAGUUUCUCUCUGAAUCGAUACCAAUACCAAUGCAGGUCGGAUGUUGAAGAAGGGGGCGAGACGGUGUUCCCGGCUGCGAAAGGAAACUUUAGCUCUGUGCCAUGGUGGAAUGAACUGUCUAAAUGUGGUAAAGGUGGACUCUCUGUAAAACCAAAAAUGGGAGAUGCUUUAUUGUUCUGGAGCAUGAAGCCGGAUACUACCUUAGACCCUACAAGUUUACAUGGUGAGUCCUUUUCUUUUUGCUCCCUAUUUUACUUCAGCAUACCAAGAUUGGUUACAUCUAAAUUAUCCUCCCUAUUCUUUUGUAUUGAUAUGUAGGUGCCUGUCCUGUCAUUAGAGGGAACAAAUGGUCAUGUACAAAGUGGAUACAUGUUAAUCAAUUAACAUGAGGUGAGUUACAUUUUUUUUAAAAAGUUAUUCUAUAUACAUCAUUUAUAUAUCACAAGGUGUCCAACUUGGUCGUUAAAAGAAUAUCAUAAUUAAAAAAUGGACAUUUUCAAAUAUAAUUUUGUAAAUAUAUUUUUUUCCUUACUUUGCAAAAUAAUUCUACCAAUAAAACUUGAAAUAGUAUAUAUAUAUAUUAUUUCCUGUAAAAGUAGAUUGUGUGCUUUUUUUUUAAAAAAAAAACUAAUUUGAGUUGUAUGAUUUUAUAUGAAAAUAUGAUUUAAAAAGAUAAUUUGCAAAUUGCAGGGUGUAUUGAAAACACACUUUGUUGGGGAAGAAGACAAUUGGAAGACCACAGAUGAUUUUCUUUUUAACAUUAUACUUUUUUUAGUUUAAUUUGUUAUCCACCCUCUCAUAUUUUACAUAUUUAGUUGUCAGCAUAAUGCACGAAAAGUUUGAGAUAUUAAUACCAUGGGGUGGUAGAUUUGAAUUAUGUAUCUUGUGGUCAGUUGAGCUAAAUUCAUGUUUAAAAAAAAGUAAUUCUUUUUUUACAAAACAAAUGUUUUCUUUCAACUUUAAAUUUUUUACCUUUUUUUUAUAACAUCGUUCCAUUUUAAAUAAUAUUUUAGCGACAUUUUCAAAUAUAACGAAAUAAAAAAAAUAUUUACAAAGUAUAACGAAGUUUAAGAUUCUAUCAAUGCACUAAUAGACAACAAUAAAAGUUCAUCAAUGAAAAUGAAUAUGAAAAACAAAAGUUUGUGAAUAAAAAUUUGAUUCAAACGUCAUUUUAGCGUGGCAAAUGUAAGAAGUGAGAAUGGAGAAGAAAGGGAAAGAAGAAGAGAGAAAAAAAAAAGGUUAUAUCUAAUUUUAAAACAAGGUUUAAUUAAAAAAAAAGUUGAACUUUGCCGUUUGUUUUAAAAUAUGUUAGAUAUAUAUUUCUAAAAGUUUUAACUUUAGGGUGAAAAUUUGAACGAAUAGAUCGAAACAAGUGUAGCAAUAAUUUAGAUUAGAGCAUGGUAGUCACAAAUAUUUUAAAUAUGUUAAAACGUUUUUGUAGCCAAGUGAAUUUGAACUAUAAAUUUCUAUGGUUAAGUUGUAUUAAGAUCUCUUUUAUAUGUUAAAAAAUAUACAAAAUGGCUUAAACAUCUAUAAUUAAUAAUUAAUUUUUGUUUAAUUUUUACUGCAUAAAAUAAGGUUGAAGUUAGUGGUGAAUGGAUAACAUAAAACAAAUAUGAUAAUGAUGGUAGAAUGUUAGUAUUAAAUCCUUAAUAUACUAUAUUUGAUGGGUUAGUUGAGUUUGUGAAAUUUAUGUACACAAAAUCUAACCUUAUUAAAAUAAUUAUUUGGGGAAGAAAGUAUUGGAAUAAAAGAAUGAGAAGACUUUGAAAAUGAUUCAAUAAACAAAAGAAAUGGUUUGGUUUCUAUGUAUGGCCUCCCAAGGUCAAGUAUAAUAGAGCCUAAACCUUGUGCAGCCAACCAUAUUCGUCAUGACUUCUUCUCCCCUCCAACAAAGAAUAAAAUAGAAGAAAACUUUUUGGUCCAAUUUUGGUAGAUGUUUAAUAAGAUUAUUUUUAAAUAUAAAAAAAUUAACCAACUUAUUUAUAAAUAUAGCAAAAUAUCAAUCUAUCAAUAGAUUUUAUCUUUUAGUGAUAAAACAGUUCAUGUGGGUGUGUCCUAGAACGAAGCAACCAUUUAAGUCAUCAUCUCAUCUCAUGUUAUAGUUUUAAUUAUCUUUGAUUUAUAUUCAAAAUAGUUUUGUAAAAUUUUUUAAAGGUCAAAUAUAGUAUUACAAACUUUUGGAAGGAUACUAAAAUCCCGUUUUGGUAAUGAGUUUUUUUUUUAAAUUUAGUUUUAUAAACACACUUUCAUCUCUAAAUUUCUUUAUUUGUUAUCAACUUUUCAUGAGUGGUUUAAAAAGCAAGUUAAAAUUUGAAAACUAAAAAAAAAUAGAUUUCAAGAAGUUGUUUUAGUUUUUUAAAUUUGAUUAAGUAGGAGAGUUAAAUUUGUGAAGAUAAAGUUAAAAAAACAGAGGAUACUUACUGUGUAUAAUAUAUAGAUGAGUCAUUUCUUUCAUUUUCAAUUGGUUUUAAAAUGAAUCUAGCAUCGUGAGCCGAACUUGAAUAAAGAAAAUACUUAAAAACUAAAAAUAAAAGGGAUAUCAAGACGGAUAGUAUAUAUGUGAUGUGCAUAUAUAAUAUCAUAUAUGUGUGUAAAUUGCCUUACACUUUGGAAUUAAAUAAAUUCCAAAAUUAGUCUCUUCUCCUCUCUCCUUCGUCAGGAAAAAAAGAAAAAAGAAACAGCUUUAAAGCAAAACGAAUAGAGAAAAUCAAAAUCAUAGACUGUGGGCGCACACAAAUCCAAUCCUCCAAUUACCCACCAAAAUUUCUCUCCCACUUUCUUCGAUGGCUAAUUUUCUCAAACCCCACUUACUAUAUAUUCAUUUUCCUUUCAUUUCCACCUCCCGUGUUUCAGAAUCGCCUUGUUGUUUUGAUUCUUUUCUAGCCUCUUCAUUCUGUCAAUGGCAAUAUCUAAAGGGAAGUACAUCAAGUUACAGGGUAGGAAAUGGUCCACAUUCCAGCUUUCGAAGAUGAUCAUGGCCCUCGUUUUGGCACUUGGGUUUUUCAUGCUUAUUGCUCUUCGCUUCUUCUCUCCUCCUGAAACUUCUCACCACCGUUUCUCUUCCGUCCGGCAUACAGCAUUUCUAAGGUAAUCUGGUAAUGCAAUGGGUGUGAUUCUUUAAGCUUGUUUGUUACAGGAAUCAACUGAUUUUGAUUUCCAUUUUGGUAAUAUUGUUGUUGUAGUGAUGGGUUGGGGAAGAGAGGGGAUCAGUGGGUUGAGUUCAUUUCUUGGGAGCCUAGAGCUUUUGUAUAUCAUAAUUUCUUGGUAAGUUUUUAGAAUUGUGGUUUUUUUUUUUUGGAAAAAAAAAAGGAAAUUUUGUUUUGUUAAAAUGGUUGGCUGAUAUUGGAAUGGCGUUGGACAGUCCAAAGAAGAAUGCUUGUACUUGAUUAGUCUUGCAAAACCCCACAUGGAGAAAUCAACUGUGGUUGAUAGCAAAACUGGCGAGAGUGUGGAUAGCAGGUAUGUCUUUAUCAUUUUCUUUGUUGUCCUUUUACUAACAGAAACAGAACUUGUCAAUUAUUGACUAUGAACUAACUCUGGUGGGGCUUACACUAUGACACAUUUAAAAGUGUAAGAAAAAGUAAUCUCAAAGAGAGUAAAUUUGAACUAAACUCAUAUUUUAAAGAUGAUUUAUCUAUAUUUAGUCGUUUCUCAUAAGUUAUCUCUUUAGGAAUUGAUUGGUCGGUUCGGUUCUUGAAAAAUCAGUUCGGUAAAAGUCCAAUCUGAACUGACUACAAUAGAAUGGUUAUGUAUAAUAGAAGGGUAUAAAGUAGAACAGUACAAUUACAAUGAACAAGGCAAACUUAUAACUUUUUUCUGUACAAUGCCAUGUCCACAGGGUGCGAACCAGUUCUGGGAUGUUUCUGAAUAGAGGGCAGGACAAAAUCAUCAGAAACAUAGAGAAAAGAAUAGCAGAUUUUACAUUCAUUCCCAUAGGUAAAUAAUUCAAAACUUUCAUAUCACCACGGCUUAUUUAGAAAUACUUUUCAAAACAGUUUUUGAAAACAUGUUCGAACCUCUGUUUUUUGCUAGUUGUUUUAUUUUGUCUGUGUUAGUGAUUUCAUUCAAUAUAUCAAUCUUUACAAUGCAUUCAACUGUAGUUAUAUUGAAUAAUUCUUCAAAAUAGAGUUGCAACCACAACAUAAUUCUCAAACAAAUCUUUGUUGGACUAAACAAACAUUCGCGAAAAAUUAGUUAAAAUUCAUGUGGGAUUUUGUUCAUUAUUCUUGUUUUUGGCCCAAACCAAAAAGGGCUUUGGUGAAUGAGCUAUUCAUUUGCUGCUUGUUGUUUUGUUGAUGUCACUGGCAUUUUGGUCUUAAUACAUUUUGGUUAGUGUUUGAUUGUUAGAUUAUUAGACUUGUCUCGUUUAUUAUCAUUAACAAAGAGGAUUGUUUCUGUUAAAAAAAACAUUUUGGUAAUGAUAUUCACAAUUCCACACAGAGCAUGGAGAAGGACUUCAAAUUCUCCAUUAUGAAGUUGGGCAGAAAUAUGAUGCGCAUUAUGAUUACUUUGUUGAUGAGUACAACAUCAAAAAAGGAGGCCAAAGAAUGGCCACCCUUCUCAUGUAUUUGUAAGAUUCUACUUUGACAAUCUCUCAGACUCAUCUACCCUCUUCUCUAGUUUCUCUCUGAAUCGAUACCAAUGGCAAUGCAGGUCCGAUGUUGAAGAGGGGGGCGAGACGGUGUUCCCAGCUGCAAAAGGAAACUUCAGCUCUGUGCCAUGGUGGAAUGAACUAUCUGAAUGUGGCAAAGGUGGACUCUCUGUAAAACCAAAAAUGGGAGAUGCUUUAUUGUUCUGGAGCAUGAAGCCCGAUGCUACCUUAGACCCUACAAGUUUACAUGGUUAGUCCUUUUUACUUUUCCUCCCUAUUUAACUUUAGCAUUAGAAGAUUGGUUACAUCUAAAUUAUCCUCCCUAAUCUUGUUUUUGAUAUGUAGGUGCCUGUCCUGUCAUUAGAGGGAACAAAUGGUCAUGUACAAAGUGGAUGCAUGUUGAUAAAUAUAUUUAACCAUGAGGUGAGUUACAUUUUUUGAAAGAUUAUUCUGUAUACAUCAUUAUAAAAAUAUAUAUUUUUUCCUUAUUGUGCAAAAUAAAUCUACCAAUAAAACUAGAAAUAGUGUAUAUAUUUCCUUUAAAUGUAAAUUGAGUACUUUUCUUUUUUAAACAAAUUAAUUUGUGUUGAAUUUGUAUAUUUACAUGGAGACAUUUUGAAGUGCAAUAGUUUUUUCUUUUUAUGAUCAUUUGUUAUUUUUCUUGAACAUAAAAGAACAAUUGGCAAUAAUAAAUUUCAAGAAAUUAUAAAUGAAUAAUGUAACAUAAUUUAUCCAUUUAUCCUCGAAUAUUUGUAUGAUUUAAAGAGAUUAUUUCCAAAUUGCAGGGUGUAAUGAAAGCACUUUGUUGGGGGAAGAAGACAAUUGGAAGACCACAUAUGAUUUUCUUUUUUAACAUUAUAUUUUAUAGCUUAAUUUGUUAUCCAUCCUCUUUAAUUUUACAUAUUUUGUUGUUAAUAUAAUAUAGAAAAAGUUCAUUUUUUUAAAGCAGAAAAUUUCUUUUAAGUUUAAAUUUUACAUGUUCCAUUUAAGGUUAUUUUUUUACAUUGAUAAACAUUGAUCAAUUAAAUCUAUUUGUAUCUAUUAUUGAUAUAAUUUAAAAUUUUGUUAUAUUUUAAAUAAUUUUGUCAUUUACAAUAAUUUUUCUAACUUUUUUGAUAUGUUAAGUGUAGCAAUAAUCUAGCAUAUGGUAUGGUUCAUGUCAAAAAAAAAAAAAAAAUAAUGUGGAUUUGAAAUACAAAUUUUGUUUAUCCUGUCAAAGAAAAUUAAAGAAAAAAAAAAGUCUAUUAAGAUCACUUUUAUAUGUUAAAAAAAUAUACUAAAAAGACUCAACACAUAAAUAAUUAUUAUUUUGUUUUUGUUUUAGUUAAUGGAUAUUUUAGGUCUUAAACCUAAUUAACUACUUUUUAGUAUUAAAUUAGUUAACCAAUCAAACUAUUAAGAAUAGCCUUUUGUUUAAUUAUAUUUAUUUUAUUUUUACUUCAUAAAAUCCAUCUUUAAUAUUAUUAAAUUAUUUAGUUUACUUUAGUUGAUUAUUAUCUGUUAUUUCAUAUUUGUUUAUUAAUUUCCCAAUAGUUUUAUUACAUAAUUUAGUAAUACUUUUUCAUUAAUAUUUUAUUAUAAACACAAUUAGAGGGGUUUGUUAAUACUUUUUACCCAACACAUGUUUUUACCUUUUUGAUUGGAUAAUAUCUAAACUAUCUUUGUGAUUAUAAUAAGGUGAGUUUUUAAUUAAAGUUGUGCUAAUUGAAGAUGGAUAUAUUAAUUAACAUGCCUUCAAAAAUUGUCAACUAUAAUAUAAUAUAAAUAUUUCUAAUGGUGAAAAUUAAUUACCAUAUUGAAUUGCAGGGGUUUGCUGCCCAUCCAUCAUAUACCCUUCAGAUAUUUUGAUUGAUAUAUUUAUAUUUUUUUAUUGGUUUCAUCUUGAUUUGAGGUGAAUCCAUAUUUCCACAAACAACCAAAUGUUACUAAUGUAAAUUAGAUGGUAUAAACCAAAUGUGUCUCGGGUGCAUCAAUACCAAUCUCUCUUGCUUAUUCAAAUUUCUCUUGCUUUGUGAAUAUGAACAAAACAGUUGUUUGUGUAUUUUUCUCACUUUCAUUAUUCUGUUAAUAUUUUAUGAGUGUUGUUGGUAGCAAAAAUAUGAACAUAAAAGCUCACAUUUACGUGUUCUAAGCAAUAUAUUUUAAUUUAGAGAAGAAAGAAAACGUCAGAUAAAAAUAAAAAAAAAGAGAUGUGUUCUACGAGACUUUUGAUGCUUAAAUUAAUAUGUAGUGAAGAGUUGGAGCAAACUAGAAGUAGGAAGAAUAACUUACCUUUUGUGGAGGUAUGGACUCUUGAAAGACAUAGGCUUUAGGAUUUCUAAUGUCAAUUCAGGUCGUAUCAUAAUAAGGGAUUAAGAACUUCACCUAUAUAGGAAAUGGGCCUUUGAAUGUAAAAGAGAGUGACCUCGACCUUGGGACAUUGUAGUUAGGUUGUUGCUUGGUUUGAAGUGGCCUCGACUUUGGCCUCCAAGGUCGAAAAUGGCAUAUGUUGCUUGAACCAAUUUUCUUUCUUCUCUCGGUCUCUCUCUUCCUCCCUUGGCUCCUUCUUAUACUCUUUUCACCCUUAUAACUACUCUUAUUUCAAUUUUAUGCUUAAUGUACUCUUUCCAACUUGUGACUCUAGCACCAAAAUGACCUAUAUCAAUUAACUUAACUAAAAAAUUAAAUAUAAACUUAGUUGAAUUUAAUUUUAUAAAAAACUAAAAGAAAAAAAAUGAAAAAUAACAUUGACAUCAAAGAGACCAAAUGAUUUGUUUAGUAAAGGGAAGAAAAGGACACCUGUUAAAUUAACUUAUAAAAAGUACUUAAUUAUGUCUUCAAAUGUUUCUUAUUUGGGAUUCUUUGAGAAGUACCUUCAAAUUCUUUUUUAAAAAAUUGAGUAUCUUCAAAUAAUCAAUUAUUCUCUUUUAUUACAAAAGUUGAGAAAGGAAAUAUAUUUAAUAAAAGCCUAUUUUGGCCUAAAGAAUUCAUUUAUUUAUCUUCAUACCAAGGUGUCGCAAGCAUGUAUAAUAAUAAUAUUACAAUAUCGAUAAUGAUGGAUAAUAAUAGAUGAUAGUGUAGUAUAGACAUUGUCAUAUUUUAAUUCAUUUUACUAUCUUUGAAAAAACAUAUACAUUAGGCAUGAUGCUUAGAAAUAAAAAAAAAAAUUCAUUUUUACGUUUCAUCAUUCUCAAAUGGAUCGAUAAUUUUAACAUUUAAACCUUCUCAAAUCCUCCAAAGUAAGUAAGUAUGUAUGUGUUUUUACGUAUAUAGAUGUACCGUAUACAUAUAUAUAUAUAUAUAUAUAUAUACACAUAUAUAUCAAAGGCCAUGAAAACAAUUCAAGAUUAAGCCUGUAUUAAUUUUUUUUAAAAAAAAGUCACACAAACACCUUAACUUAAACCAUGCAAAAUACCUAAACCUAGCAACAAAUUUAAGUGGGAUAAAUAUAUAUUAAGUAACAAUUUGAUUUUUGAAAAUCAAAUUUAUAAACCUUGCUUGUACCUAUGAACUUCUUUGAUAUGUAAUCUACCUUUUACGUGUGUAUUUUAGAAAUUCAAACUAAAUUUUUUAAAACUAAAAUAGAAAGUAGUAUAGUUUUAAAGUUUGUUUUUGCUUUUUAGAUUUAGCUAAGAAUUCAAUGUUUUGUUUUGGAUGAAUCAAUUCUAAAGAUUUAGUAGGGAGUGGGAAAACGAACAUAGAUUAUAAGGAGUGGAUGACAAUACUGUAAACUUAACAAUGAAGUAGUGUUUACGUAUAAGACUUCAAGAUUAAUUUAUGAGAAAUACAUGAAUGAAUUGAGAUUACAUUUGAACGAGAGAUCUUUAGAAAAUUAUAAAAAUAUAUGGUUAAGAAAUGCUUAAAAGAAUUGGUAAAAUAAUUAUAUUACUUAUACUAAAAAUGAUACACAUUUUUCAUUGAUCAAUCAUAAGAAUUGCAAAAUUAAACGUACUUAUGUUAGAGCGAUUCUAUUUCUAGAUACCCUCUUGAGAAAGUUCCUAAAAAUACAUAUGAGCGAGUACAAAACACAAUGGAAUGACCUGGAAUCAUUAAAUUUUAAAUCUAAAUCGUUGAGAGUUAUCAAAUUGGAUUUUAAAUCUAAAUCGUUGAGAGUUAUCAAAUUGGAUUACUGGUUAAUCCAAAUUCAAAUUUUAAUUUAAUAGAUUUAGAAAUUCAACAUUAAAAUCGCCCAAGACUAAAUAAGUAAUUAAAUAAGUAGAUCACACACAUAUAUACACCAAAACAAUUUAACUUAGCACUUAUGAAACCUUUCUUGUAACUAAGACACGCCUUUAAACUACAUCUUCAUGGGGGAAAGACCUAAAGAGUAAAGAACUUCUCAAAGUUGGAAAGAACAAUAAUAAUAAAAUUAAAUUAUAAACAAUCAAUCCUAUUAUUUAAAACCAAAAGAGAAAUUAAAGUAAAAGAAGGCAUUAGCUGACAAAUUAUUCUCCAUUAAUUAUUAACAAUUACAAAAUUUAAUCAGUUUGCUAUUCCUUUUUUUCUUUGUUCUUGUUUGUAGGGUUUCCUUUAAACAAUAAUAAUAUAUACAAUUUUCUAAGAACAAAUCAUAACCAAAAAAAAGAAAGAAAAAUUCUUUGCUAAAACUUAGACUUUAUUUCAAGUGGUCCAUAUUUCCUUAAUGCUUGUUUUGUGGAUUCUCUUUCAAAGUAGCAAUAAAUUAAUUAAUUAGGUUUUGGUUUUUUGUUAGACUUUCAAAAAGAUGUCACACAUCAUAUAAACAAUAUAAUAUACACACACACAUACACAUAUGCAUUAUUAAUUAAAUUAAUGUGAAAGCAAGAAAAGAUUAGUAUACCCUCUCCCCCCCCAAUUGUUGUUAUUAAUUUAAAGCCCCAAGAUUAUUUUAAUGAAAUAGGAUAGAUUAAAAAAAUCCAAUUUGAUCUUUUUAGUGGGCUCCAUGGGGGGUAUUGACACCUUCACCCAAUAGAAUGUUGUAAGCAAAAGUGAUUUCAAAAUUAAUAUAUUAUAUACAUAUUGAGAGUUAAAUUUACUCAUAGGGCAGUGACAUGUGAUUCCAUGUGAAGAGGGUCCUCCCUUGUUGCCCCAAGAACCCUAGGAUUCUUUUCAUUUAACCAUUUCAUUCCUAUUAGUUUUGUCUAAUUACUAUAACCUAAUCCUAAUCUAUCUUUACUAUAUUCUCUUUUGAUAAUUAUUUAAGUUUAGCUUAUUAGCAUUCGUUUUCUUUUUCCACUACUAUAUAUUUAAUAAUGUGUUUUCUCUCUCUCGUUUUUUACCUUAAGAGUUCAAACUUUCUUUUUAGAUAAUUUUUUAAAAUCCUUAUGGUCUAUAUGGAUCGAAAGAAAUAAGAGGAUAUUUAAUUUAACAGGAAAGAAAUAUCUCUACCGGUGUUAUGAGAAGAUAUCCAAGCUCUCACUGGCUUCUGGACUAGUCACUCUGCCCGUUUUCAGAAACUAUACACUCUGCUAGUAGCAUAACUUUAAACUUCAAUGCUUUUUAAUGCUUUCAUCGGGGCUUUGGGGUUUUGGGUCUCAUAGGCUUCUCUCUACCUUUUUUGUAUUCCUUACUUCUUGUACUGACUCAUAUUAUUAAUGAAACAGAAAUGAUGAGAGUGCUAAAGAGGUGUCCACAUGUACACCUAGUGGAGAUAUCUUGGUGCACCUACUGACCCAUAGUAUAUAUUUUUCAAAAAAAAAAAACUUUUUUAGACGUUUCAAAUAGUAAUACAUAAAUUUUUGGUUUUGUUUAAGCAAAAACUAUUUUAGUUAUUAAAUAUUUGUAAUUAUUAAAAUAUAAACAUAAAUAUUUAAUAAUAAAACAAAACUAAAAACUCAAUUUUCAUUUUCUCCACCUUACAUUAAAGAUAAAGGUAAGAUUUCUUCUAGUGUUUUGACGAUUCCUGUCUGUACAAUAAAUAAUUCUCUCUUCUUUUUUUUUUUAACUUUACGUGAAUUUUUUAUUUGUUUUUAAUUAAAAAUUAUUUUAGAAUUUUUUAAAUUUUCCCUAUACAUUCCAAGCUAAUAUAUAACUAGUUUAGAUAAAAAUAUUUUAGCAUUGUUCUUAAAAGGAGGUAAAAUAUAUAUAUAAUUAAUUAGGUUAUAGGUUAUAUAUAUAUAUAAAAUAAAAAUAUUGUUAUUUGAGCAAUUGGUUAUAUAUAUAUAUAUAUAGUUGUUUUUAGAGUUUGGAUAGAAUAGCUUUGUUUUUAAAAGUCAAUUUAUCUGAUAAGAUUUUCUUACAAAUUUUUUAUUUUGUAAAAAUUAUUAAAAAUUAAAGUCAAAAUGUAAAAACGCCUACUUGCAUAUAUAUAUAUAUAUAUAUAUAUAAACAACUAUUUGUUUGAUAAGGUUUAUUUUUUAGCUUUCUGUUUUUCUUCAUUUCUAAUCUACUUUAAUUUCAAUAUCACUUUUGAAAUUAUAGUCAAAGCACAACUAUAAAUUUUUAAAACCCUAUUUUUUUUCUGAAAAUAUUUUCUAUAUAUAUAUAAGUAAUUAUUUUAUAUAAAAAUGAGAUAUUUUGAAAUACAUUAAAAUAAGAUAAAAUAAUAAUUUUCUCUCAUCAACUCAACAACUAUUUAUUGCCUUAUAUAUUAUCAAGUAAUAGACACCAAUAGAUAUUUAUUUUUUUUCUUACAACUUUGUGUUUUAAGCAUGUUAGUUUAAAGAAUGAGUGAGAUUUUUCUUCAACUCUUACCAACUAUACACCCGUCCCAAACUAUAUCUAUGUGUUUAUCAUAAUCUGAUCGAUUCUUCCAAAUAGGUCAACAAUAGAUAAUAACUCCCCAACAUAUAUCCAACUCAACAACUUUAUUGUCCUUACUUGUUAAUUAGAUUCGUUUCAUGGAUGUGUAUAAUUACUUUUAUUUUAAUAAAGAUACAAUUUUAGACACAUAUAGAAUCAAAAUAAUAAAAGAAAAGAAAAGAAAAGAACUUAAAAAUAGAGAAAUCCAUAAGUAUAGUGAUAUAUAUUGUUAUUGAAAGAAACAAUUCAUCACUAGCUUCAACAACAAUUUAUGUCUAGGGAAAUUGCACCUCUCUAUAUAUAAAAUAAAAAAUUACAUCAGUUUUCAUGAUGGCUUAGCUACCUUCCCCAAACCCCUCCCCCACUAUGCAACAAAGGAACCCCUUCAAUUAAAUUAUAUUAUAUGUGUGGCCUUAUCUUUCUUAAAAACUUAGCACCAAACACCAAUUUAAAUAUAUUUUAUUCAUAUAUACUUUUAAAAUUUUCCUCUCUUUUCUUUCUAAAUUCCCCUUCAUCUUUUUCACCUUUAAUUUAAUUGUUAUCUCUUUCCCAUGUCCCACACCUUUUUUUUUUUUUUUCUUAUGUUCUACAAGAAAAAGUUGUCUCCUUUGACAUGAAAUUUUCAAUAAUUAUGUAAUUCCAUCUAUGACACUUAUUUAUCUCAUGUUAAGAUUUUCCCUUUACUUGUCAACAGGGUCAGAAAUCACUACCUUUUUCACUCAAAAAUCAAUCACGUUAGCUUGAUGUUAAGAAGAUUAUUGGUGAUAACUAUACAAAAAGAUAGUUUUUGUCCAGUAAUUUAUUUGGUUAACACACAAGUUUAAUUAGUCUCUUAACUUUUAUGUUUUAUAUAUAAUCUUAUUUUAGUCUUCAACAUGUCAAGUGCUUACAAUAGAUUCUUUAACUUUUAAUUUUGUACCAAAUACGUCAAUGAAUUUUUAUACCUAAUAUGCUUUAAAAAAAAUUGGAAAUAAAUUUAAUUAAAGUUUAUGUCUAAUCAAAUGAAAACUUAAAUUUUUAAUUUUGAAAAUUUUACCCUAAGCAGUAAAGUUUAGCUUUGUAAAUUAACAUUCUUUUUUAAAUAAACAUAUCAAAUAGAUUUCAUCCGUAAUUAAGUGCACUCUGCUAUUAAAAAAAAAACCAUAAAAGAAACCCAAUUGUAAAUUAACAUUUUCAUAGUUUCAUCCAUAUUUUAAUAAUAUAUUAUAGAAAAUUUUGUUUGAAUUGUAUAUAUAAAAGUACAAAACAGAACAUUGGGAGUUCCACCCCAUUUGCUACUUUUUUUUUUUUCUUGUUGAUUUAAUAUUAUAUAAUUAACUCUUAGAAUUGCUUUGGCUAAUGUGGUGAUAAUGGGAGGUGGGGUAUAAAGCUAAAAUGGCAACAAACAAGUAUAUGCCUUACAAGAAAACAUGAUGAUCAAAUGUUUACAUCUUAAUUAAUAAUAAACUCACACACACAUAGCUAUAGAUAUAGAUAGCAGUAAAUAAAUGAGGUUAUAAAGUAACUAAUAAUAUAUUAAAGUUAUAGAAAACUUAGUUACAAUUAUUAAAAUAAUGUCUAAAAUAUAUAAUUAAAUAGAAAAACAUAAAAAGGUUUAAUCAAAUUCUAAUGAGUUUUUUUUGUACCAAAUAUCUUGAGAUUGUUUAUGAUUGAUAAUUAUGUUUAAAAUAGUAGUUCUUCCAUUUUUUUAAAGUGAAAAAAUUGCCAUGUAGAGCAUGUAAUUUUCUUAAAAAAAAAUAUGUGGGUUAUAUAAAAUACACACAUAUAAGUUAUUUAAUAUUGCUUUCUUAAGAUCCUAAUUAUUGAUAAAAAUUUUCUUAGAAAAAAAUAUUUUAUCACGAGAAGUUGUGAGAAACAUAUAAAUUAAUUGGACAACAAAAGUUCUUUGUGGGUUUAAAGCAUACAGAAAUAAUUAGAAUAAUCAGAACAAAUUUGAUUUAGAAGAUGAAGCUACAGCUGAAACCAUCAAUCGAAUAAUUAAAAAUGAACAAAGCAACAAAUGAAAGUAAUUCACUUCUUGAUAUCAAAAAGAAAAACAAACCCUAAUUUCCCUUGGAUUCAACAACAAACUAAUUAACUUGAACGAAGAUCAUACAUACUCAAAGUAAACCUAAACCUUAUUUGUUAACAAUCAUGAGUAGCAAAUUAAGAACUAGAGAACCCAUUCAUAAAGAUGUUUAAUUUAUGUUUUUGAAAUGAAAUUUGUUUAAUUAAUUAGUAUUAUUUUCUUUAUAUAAUUUCUUUUGAGAGGUAGAGGUUUUAAAAAUUUUCAUUCAAAGUUAAAAUUAUAUCUAAAAACUAGAAAUAUUAUAAUAAAUAAUAAAAAAAUAUAUUAGUAAAACUAAGCUGAUCCAUUUUUCAAAGAAACAAAAUCAUUUCAUCAAAUGGGCCAUAGUUCUUACCAAUUUGAUGCAUAUUUUAUAGAGAAGUUUAUGGAGGUUUGAUUUUCUUUUUUCUUUAUCCAAUUGUUUUUCCCAAAUCAUCAAGACACAGAAAAUAAAAAUUAAAUUAGAAGAAAAAGAGAGGAAUUAAUUGAAUAUAAAGUUAAUUAACUCUCCUUCUUGUAUUUGCAUAGAACAAUUAAUUUAAGGGUUUUUUUUUUUCACACUGAAUAUUUAUAAUCAACACUAAGACAUGAAAUAUAUAGAGACUCAUCUCUUUCAUCUUUUAUAUCUUUAACUUCCUAAACCAUGGCUGCAAUAACAAAACAGCCACCAAUCUUAAAACAUUUUCUAACCUUUGUUUUUUUUUCCCAUCAGAAGCUUUAAAAUGACGGCCGGCCGCCGUGAGCCCAAGAAUAGGCCUCUUGGUUCAACUGCCCUCCGCCACCAUUCGGUAGUAAAUUUGGUGGUAAAUUGUACAGUGGAGUCAUAGCUGAUGGGUCCCCGACUCCGCCUCCGAUGCCUUGUGGUGAACCGUCGCCUGCGCCGCCACCGCCUGCCGAUGUGUGCCCUUGUGCUCCUACUCCGCCGCCUUCUUCUUCCUCUUCUAAGGGUAAUCUUUCGUAUGUUGCGUUGGAAAAUGUUGCAGCAAUCACCAUCACUGGGCCAGCAGCGGUGAGUGGCCCGACGACGCUGCCACCCACCACUUGCCCUUGUCCACCAGCCAAGUAGAUCGUUAGUCCGGUUGAGCCAGGUGGGGCUGGUCCAGGGAGGAAAGUUCCAGUUAAAGAAAGUAUCUCGAAUCGUCCCUGGAGGGCUAAGACUGCACCAGGCGCAGACGGUUGUCGGAGUGUGACAUUUGUAACCGUACCGCUACCACUAAGUACAGAAACACCUGUUAAUGAAAAUAUUUUUCUCUGAAGUCAAUCAUACAUGCCAGUUAUGGAUCACGAAUUCAUGUGAACUAAAUUAACCUAAUUUCAAAGUACAAACUCUGUGACUCAUGGAUAUAUAGAUAAUUAAAAUCAAUAAUUAAAUUCACCGCAACCUAUUAAUUAGCUUAAGCUUUUUCACCUCUCUGUCGCCGUCGAGCGAAUUGAGCAACGCUCUCGGCAAUAUCAGCUCCAUUAGAAAUCUCCAUGACAUGGCUUUUUAGGGCAUUAGGGCUAUCUCUAGUAACAAAGAUAGGUGGCUUAGGCUUAUUCUUGGAUCCCGGCGGUCGGCCACGGGGACGACGCGUUGGAACCUCAACUGCUCCUUCUUUAGGUUCAUCCCCACCGUUAUCCCUAUCGUCAUCGUCAUCACCACCACUGUGAACAGGACCACCGUUGUCGUUCAUGGAGAUUCCCAGAUCUGGUUUUCUCAUAGCAGAGGAGCUUGUUGAAGUAUGAUCAACUCCGGGAAGACCCAUCUGGCCGGAGGUCCACCACCGGUUUGCCAUCAUCAAAAAAUUCAGAUCUUUUUUUUUUUUUUCAGAUCUUGAAAAUUUUCAGAGUUUUAAAAGUUAGAAUUCUUUUAUAAAAAAAAAUAAUUUAUCUGCUGAAGAAGAAUUAAGAUGGUAUUGUGGGGUUGAAAGGGGGAAGAAGAAGAAGAAAUAAUAAUUAAAAAAAAGGAAAAAAAUAGAGAGAAGAAAGGAUUAAAUUAAUAAGUAGAGAGUAUUGGGAGGUGUAAAUUAAAUGGAAGGAUUAAGGAAAGGGGAGGUUGAAGUGAUGAUGAAGGGGAAGGAGAGGGAAAGAAAAGGCAAAGAGAUGCCUAGAGAGUUGAGAUAGACAAGAAAGUAUGUGAGGAGAGAGAAAGAGAGAAAUGGGGUUUUUUUAGAAAUGUUGAGGGUAAUGUGAGUGUUCUGUGUUCUUAUUUUAAUAUAUAUAUACAGCCACAUAUAUAUAUGUGUAUGUUUUUGGUCUCUUAUACAGUUGAAUAUGGGCUUCAGCUAGGUUAAUGACUUAAACAAUAUUUGAGGGGAAAAAAAAAGACAUUUCCCCAAAAGUUUUCCCAAAUUUUUUAAAUCAAGAGUUUUGAUCUACCAUUUGGGUGAAAUUACCAAAAUGAAACCUCACAUGUAGCUUAAGCUUGGAUUUCUUGCUCGAUCUCUCUCUCGUUUCGCUUGUUGAUCUCUCUUUCCUCUCUCUCACUCAGAAUCCAAUCUCUUUCUCUCACUCUAUAACACAAAAUUAUCGAGAUCAAAACUUGUGUGUGCAUGACAGAGAGAUAAAAAACACACAAAGAAGAAGAAAUUCUGCAACAUAAACCCACAAAAAAGAAAAGAAAAAGAGAAAAUGAAAACGAAGAAGAAAGAAAAAUAAAUUUAGGUAAGGUGGUCUAGACAUGUACUAUCAUUUUCUUUCUAAUUAAAUAUUCAUUUUCACAUAUUUCAAGUCUACAUGUGAGGAGCGCGUUAGAUCCAUCUUAAUUGAACGGUUAAAUUGAAUGAUGACUUUAAAAAAUACCGUCGAUCAUACUGAAACGAUGUGAUUGAAUAAUUUGUGAAUUUAAAUUAAAUGGGAAGUGGUUGGAAGUAGCAUGGGUGUGUGACAAAGUCAUUGCUACCUGCUUUCCUCUCUAACUCUAUUUGAAUAAAAAAAUGAAGAAAAGAUUGUGAAGAGGAAGAAGAAGAUGAAGAAGGGGGGAAGUGGGGAUGGUGAUUAAGAAUUCUAGGGUUUUAUUUGUGAGUGGGGUGGCAUGCGCUUAUGAUGGUGGGAUGCACGUCCUUGUCUACACCGACCCCACAUCAAAACAUACACAUAUACACAAUACACAACAAAACAUUACCCUAAAAAAUUAUAUUCAAAACAUCUAACUUUUUAAUACAAACCUUUCUUUUCCUAAUUGAACCCUGUCCAUAAAUAAAUCAAUAUAACAUUGUUAUUACCCAAUUUCUUUUUCCAUAUGUUUCAACUAUAUAUGAAACUUUCCCCUUUUUUCCCCCUCUCUAUGCCCAAUGUAAAUACACACAAUUCCAUGGUUUGGGUUAACGUGAAAUAUAUCAAUUAUUGUGUUAUGAUUGAUAUAUCUAUGUUUAUUAUUAUUCAUUAAUCUAUAUCCUUUUUCUUAAUUAAUAUAUUUGCAAUGAAUUUUAAUGGAUAAAAUUUAGUUGGGUGUGGAAUAAUCUAUCAAAAGUUUGAUUCUUUUAUUUUGAAUUUCUUUUUUUUUUUUGUAUUCAAUCAUCUAUUUAAUCUGAGAUUUUUUAAUUUAGAGUUGGAAUAUGAAAAUACAAGUUCAAUUAUUUGUAACUACUAAUACAGUAACGUUUUGAAUUUACAAAUAAAAAUAAAAAGAGAAGGAAAUGAAAAAAAAAGAAGAGCAAAAUCCAUUAAAAUAAAUCCUUUCGAAUUGAUAUAUAUUUAAUGUUUAUUAGCGAAUGUUUGUUAUAUCAAAUAUCAAUGAUACAUACAUCAUCUUUAUCGUAUAAUGAUACACACUAAUAAGAUAUAACGUUAUUAUAUGAACGUUACAAAAACCAAAUUACGUAACAAUAUCAUUAUAUUUGCAUAAUUAAAACCCAUGCUAGUACAUAAUUUGUAAAUACACAAAUAACAUAUUUUGUCAAAAUGACAAUGAUGUCAAAAUUGAUAAAUUUUCAAGGAUAAAAGUAUGAUUAAUGUAAAAAGAGAAAAACGAAACUGGUUAUUGGGAAGGAUUAAAUUAUGAUCAAACAAGAGACUUAAAUAAAUCUACAUAGGAGCGAGAGUAACACUUUUACUAUAAUGAUGAGGUAAAAUUUAUGAGAUGCAUGUCAAGUAAAAAAUAAAUAAAGUCUAAUAAAUCAUGGCUCAAUAUAAUAAGAUAGAAUUAAUUAUUAUAUGGUGGGUUCCUAAUACUGACAAGCCACCUUUGAAUAAAUAAAUUAUGGCAUGUCAAGACAAUGAAUCAUAACAUGAUUAAACAAUCCAUAUAGCAACCUUACAAUCUUUCUUUAAUUUAAAUUUAAAUGGUGUAGAAUUAAAAUUAGAUGGAUUGUUUUGUAGAAUUGGACAUUUUUCAUAAAACUUGGUGAAAAUUAAUGAAAGUUUUUAUAAUUAGUUGAUGAAACUCUGAUAUUAUGAUUUGGUUUUUCUACGAAGGUAAAUAUUUUUUGACAAUCACUUAAAAGAAUACUUUAUUGAUUGAUCUCAUAGAUAUAAAAUCAAAUUUUCUGUAUAAAUAAAGCCUUUAAAUUACUUUCAAUCUUGUACAAAUAUAUGUAUGUGAAUUUAGUAUAAUAUUGAAUAGGUUAAAAGAUAUAAUAUAAUUACAAAUUCUAAUUAGAUAUAUAUCAUUGUAAAGGUUCAAAGUAUUAAAACCAAAACUUUAAAUCUUAACCUUUAUUUUAAUUCACAUACCAAUACAUCUUCAAAGGCUCUAAAUUAGUCAACUAUUUGACAUUUUUACAUUUAAUUAAGAUUUAAGUUUAUUUAUUUACUAUUAAUUAUUAAGAUAUUUAAUUAUCAUUUUGGGAUACUAAAAUUUGAAGCCAACAUAUAUCAAUUGUGCAGUAAUCAUAUAUCAUACUGUUUUUAGAAUUAGUUGCGUUAUACUGCAUAUAUAAUUGACCCCUUUUGUUGGAGCUUAGAAAGGAUUUUUCAUAAUGGAUUAGGAAAACGUCUCAUUUUUAUAACUCAUCAAGUUGAUAAUCUAAUCAUUAAACUAUCUUCACAUAGUCUUUCCAAUAAACCAAUAACGUUUCUUAUCCAAGAAUUAUGAUAUCUCUACUCACCAUUUUAAAUUACAUAUAUUCUUUUUAUAUCACUCAAUUACAUGCAUUUUGACUAAUCUCACGACACAACUUGUUUGACUAUACGACAUUUAGAUUGUACAUAUACUUGUUUAAAUUAGUUGUUGGUUUAUUUAAAGAGGAAGAAAUAUCAUUGGUUCUUUUAUUUCUAAAAACAUAAAAAAAAAAGUCUAAAAAAUAAUGUUUUACGAAGAAAAAAAUAUUUUUGGUAUAUAUCUCUAUAAAUGGAAUAAUGAUAUUGUCCACUUUGAGACUUUGGUUUUGUUAUGAUAUUGCCUAGUUUGGAAAUAAUUCAAAAAAGACUUGAACCUUUAGAGAUAUUGAUGUCACUACUUAUAUAUUCGUAAUAUUUCUUCUUAAUUAUCUAGCUAGCGCAAUGUGAAACUUUUGAUCGUAUUUUCAACAAUUCUCCUGAUGAAUUAACAAAGUAGUCCUUUCAUAAACUACUCCUUAAAUAGUCAUGUCAACUCAUUGAGGAUAUUUAUUUUUGUAAUGGUAACUAUAUCAACUCCUCGUGAUCGGGACAUUGUAUAUAUGUUUAAUGCUCAACAAUGGAUAUUCACAUAUUGUGGUUGUGUCAUCGAAGGUUCAUUAAAAAAAAAUUUAUCCACUAAUAUGCUUUGGAGAAAACAAUGCAUGGAUUCACUAUCGAUUAACUAUGGUUAGAGUAUAACUCUAAUACCACUUGUUGAGGACCAACAAGACUCCAAACAUCUUUACGAAGAUAUGAUAUUAUCUAUUUUGAUAUGAACAUAACUUUCACGACUUUGAUUUUAAUCCCAAAAGCUUUAGAUUAACAUUUUUGAAGAUAGGUGCUCAUGUUUUGAUACUCAUGAUAAUCUGCUUAUUAAGCUAAUGUAGUACUUUAGUUGCAUUUUCAACCAUUAUGAAUAAUUAUAAAUUUAAUAUAUUUUCUUGUAAUUUAAACUUAAUAUAUAUGUGUGUAUAUAUAUGGCGUAUGUAUAUUCGUAUUUACACAUAACGAGAGUUCUUGGUAUGUUUGCUGCCAUUUUUUACCUAUACUUUGUCACCAAAAUAACAACAUUGUUAUUUUAUGGCAAUAACAAAGUUCACUAAAAAUCAUGAAAUUUCAAAAUUACAAAUUACUGUUAAUUGUUAAAUCUACAUAAUAUGUUAAACAUAAAAUUUUAUCUUAUGUUUUGAAAUCAAAUCUCUUGAAAAUUUCACUAUUUUGGAUGUAUCUUCUUUUCAAAUUCUUAAAUUUAGAUUGUUCAUGUCACACAUAUUAUUAGACCAAAAGUAGGGUACUUUUCCGUAAUGAAAUAAUGCUUCCCCUUAUAAUAUUCUAAGUACUAUUACUAUAAAAGACGAAGUAUAUAUAUACAUAAUAUAUGUUAUUAUAUAUAAGGGUGAAUAAUAUUAAAAGAAUUGUUAGGGUGAUCUCCACUAAUUAAAUUCUUACAUAUAGCCACUCAAAACCACAUCUAAGAUUCUAAAUAAUAUCAAUAUAUCAUGAGACCAAUAACUAGCUUUGUUGGGAUUAAAAAGGUGAUGAAAGCUUAAAAUUAUAAUAUUAUUUUGGAGAUAUAUAUACAUAAUUGAUUAACUUAUAUUCAUUCAGCCUAAUUAAUUAAUAUUUCACCACUAAGUCUAACCAAGUUUUAGGCUUAUUAUAGCCUUGGUGAAUAAGAUUAAAAUAUCUUUUAAAUGUCAACUUUAAAUAUAUUUUAGUUUUAUAAAACUAGCCUUUAACAAAGUCCUUUUAUUUUUCACUAUCAUUUUAUUUUUAUAUUUUUAUAUGUAAGAAAGUGACCUUUCUUUGCUAACUUUUUCUUUUUUUUAAAAAAAAAAAAUUAAGCAUAAACAAUAAAUUAAAACAUACUAUUUUUAUGGUAGACCCACUUAAUAACUAUUUUUAUUAGUAUUUUAAAUUAAACAUAUUUCUUUUCAAUUUUCUUAGAUAGGAGAAUUGAAUUUUUAGUUGAAUCUAAAAAAAUAUAGACAGAUUUUUAAAUUUUGUUUUAAAAAUUUCCUUUGGUUUUUUAAAAAUAUUGAUAAAAGUUAGAUAACAAAACAAAAAAAAAUUAAAAUAAAAGAGAUAUAAUCAUAGGUUUAAUUUUAAAAAACUCAUCAUAUAGUGAUAAAAGUUUAAAAAACUUAUCACCAUAUAUUUACAAAAUGAAGGUUUAGUUUUCUAAUUUUUUUUUAUUUUUGAAAUAAGUAUUUGUUUUUUAAAAAAGUUUUUUACCCAUUAUUUUCAUAAAUACUUAAAAAAAAUUGUCAAGAAAAGUAAUUUUUAGUAGUGUCUUUAUAAUAUGUUUAAUUUUAUAAAAUAAAACAAAAAGAAAUUAAAAGGUAAUGAGAGUACUCAUUCUAAAAAGAUGGAAUUGACACUAUUUGAUUUCUAAUAUUUGGAAGAUACAUUUUAAUCUUGAAGUAUGGAAAAUUAAUUGUCCUAAAUAAUUAUUGAGAUUAUUGUGUUUAGCUCUUAACUAAUUAGUUGGCUAGUAGAAAAAUGAUGAUGUUGGAAGUAACAUAAUGAUUUAUAUACAACUAUUUUGAUGACUUAAUUCAUUUAUUAUAAUGUUUUUAAUUUAUUUGGUUAACCUAAGUUUUUUUCCACUCAUUUUUCUCUCACUACUAUAUAAGUGUUAUAAUUACUACUACAUAUUAGUGUUGUAAUUACUAGAUCUCUUUUUUUAGUACAGUAAUUAUAUGACAGAGAAUUGAACUUUCAACCUUGUAGAGAUGAAAGUCAUGUUACUGUUCUUUGAAAAGAGUGAAGAUUGUCAAAUCAUCGGUCACAGUAUAUGAUCAUUUAUCGAUUUUGGUUGGACCCAAAUCAUUCCUAGACUUCACCCAUAACAUAAUGGAAAUGUCGUUUUUCCUCGUAUCAACGUCAAACUUGUGAAAAUGUGAAAAUAUCGAAAUGUUAAUUAAAGUUUAAUAUCACAUCAACAAUAAGUACUAACUUAAACAUCAAAACUAUGAGAGGUUUCAUCACUUAAUUUUUCUUUUUCCUUUGUUCUUGAAAUCCAUAGUUAAAGAAACUGACCAAGAUCUAAAGUAAAAAAAAUGAUACAAGGCAUAAUUAUAAUUUAAAUGAAAAAUUGUAAAAAUCAACCCUAAACUAUCAUUACUAGUAGCAAUUACACUCUCAAACUUUUAAUAGUAAUAAUUGAGCCCAUGAUUAAGCUUCUAGAAAUGUUAAAAUUGGGUUCUUAAGCCUAUAACAAUCGUAAAAAACAAACUCACAAAUGAUAAAAAUUAAAUUCUCAAACUUAUAGGGUAUACAAUUGUGUAAGUUUAAUGGUUCAAUUUUAAAAUUUGAAUCAAUAUAACUUAAUUUCUAAUUUUAAAAGUUUAAGAAUAUAAUUUGAUUAUUUGACAAGUGUCAUUAAAUAAUUUACUACUUUAUUAAAUAUUUAUUGUGUGAACGUGACACAAAUUCUUAUAGCCGCUUAGGUGAUCAACAAUAAACGGAGGUAUUAUGAAAGUAGUCGAAAUUUUCUUAUUUUAGGGUUGAUUUUUGCCCUCAGCUCUAAUGGGCAAAUAUCAAACAAAAAUUUAUUAGAAAGACUACGAUAAGCGACAAACUAAGAAUAAGAUAUGUUAAAGCGUGUCAGACCGUCUUUAUUUGUUCUGAUAUUUUAUAACGUAUGAAAUAUAUUUAUAUUUUAGAUAUGUUUGUACUUUUUUGUUUCACGUUUUGAUGAAUGGAUGGUUUUGUCACGUUUGCAAAAGUAAAAAGUUUGAGGUAUGAAUGAAAUUUGUAAAAUUUAUUUGACCACAUCUAUGAAAGGCAAAACCUUUAUUAAUAUGGACAUAUUUUCAUAUUCUUUUAAAAAAGAAAAAGAAAACACGUUUUGCAAUUUCCCGUUUGUUUAGCUAAUUUAUAUUUUUGGCCAAAUAUUUUCUUCUACUGUUAACCAUGGAUUACGCCAAAAAUUCUCCCACUUCGCCUUCUGUUUCUGCAAGCAAUCGGCUAUCAGGUACGAAGAUCAUCGCUCUCGUAAUCGCUAUCUAUAAAUUUCUCUCUCACUCAAACAACCCAGAUCGUUUUUUCUCUCUUUCCUCUUUUCAUUGCACUUUUUUCAGAGGGUUUUUGGUUUGUUGUUGAAGAAUACAGAUGGGUUUUGAUAGGUUUUGUUCAUCUUUGCUUUCUGUCAUUUCUUGUUGUUUUAAUUUUAAGUUUAUGCGAACAAAUAGAGAAAAAGAGACUGAUGGGAAGGAUUUGGGUUGGUUUUUUUAUGUUUAAUUUUUGUCAGAUUGUCGAUUUUUUUGCUCUUGAAUUUCUGGGUGGAAUGUUACUUUCAGAUUGUUGUGUUCUGGGUCUUUGAUGAUAUAUUCAUUUAUAUUUUUGCACGAUUUAUCGGUGAUUGAUGUUGCAUGUUCAAUCUGUUUUGAGCUGAACAUUAUUAUGUCAUUUAUAAUGUAGGAUGACUAGUUUCAAAUUCUGGUGUUGAUUGAAAUCUUGGUUGGAUUUCUUCGUUUUGGAUUUCAUCUGACGUAUUCAACUGUCUAAUCUGCUUGAAAAGUUUGAUUAAGGAUGCUUUUAACAAUUAAUUAGUUCAAUUUGGGGAUUUAGAGAUAAGGUUUUAAAUUUUAAUAGUAAUUAAGUUUUCAAUUUGGAGAUUGAACCUUGAAUGUUGGAUCCUUCACUUUGAUAGCCAUUUAUCAUGACUGGGUGAAGUUUAUGCUUACCCUUUAAUCCUACACUUCUAAGAAGCACGCACACUUUAGUUUUGCCUAGUGUGUUCGUGUUUGACACGUGUCGGGCACUUGGGACACUACAACACUUGGUGGAUACCUAUCAGACACUCGUUAGUGGAACAAAUGUGUUAGACAGACAUAGAACACUAGUUGAGUAGACUAAAAAGACACAUAUAUAACAAUAAUGAUAAUUUUUAAAAAUGAAUAUUUUAAUAAACGUAUCCUUUAAUAAACGAAUAUUUUAGUAAACGUAUCCUUGUCGUGUCAUGUUUUAGAUUUUUAAAAAUGUCAUGUCGCUGUGUUCACGUUGUGUCAUAUCCGUGUCCAUGCUUCUUAGCUUCUCUUUGAUUAGAGUAAGAAAUGUUAAGUUGAUUAACUCUUAAAAUGAGGUAGUAGUAUUUUAGAAAUAAAGAUAGGAAAGAACGAAGUGAACUUUCAUAAGCUACUCUGACUCCUAUUAGGAAGCAGGAUGCUUGCUCAAGUGGAAACUAAAUCUACCCAAGGGAUCAAAUUUGUAGUUUGUCCUUUUAUGUUUGCUACUGAAGAUCCUUUGGUCUAGUCUAAUCAUUAGGCUUGAUAAGUAUCAUCCUUUACAUUUGUCGAUAACAAUUUAGCUUUUCUAUUGGGUUAUAAUGAUUGCUCUGGUUAGGGUCUGCUGUCUUUGGUUUUCAGGGGUGUGUGCUAUUUUUGUAGAUUUUGUGGGGGAAGCAGAAUAUUAGGGUUUUUAGAGCCAAGAGGGACUUUAUUGAGAUUUCGUCUCCAUUCGUUUUCAUGUUUCUUUGUGGACUUCGGUUUCAAAUGUUUUUGUAAUUAUUCUAUAGGUGUUAUUUUGCAUAUUUGGAUUUAUCCUUUUCUAUAGAGGUUGCUCCUUCCUUUUGUGGGCUAGUUUUUUGCAUGCUUUUAUAUUCUCCCAUUUUUUUCUCAAUGAAAGGUUAUUCUCGUCAUAUAUAUUAUAUAUGAAAUGUUUGAUUUGGUGUUUGAAUUUGAGAACUUAUAGGUUUGGAUAUACUAAAGAGACAAUUGAAACUCUUGAUACUAAUGAUUGGAUUCAUGAUGCAAAAAUAAUAUUGGAAUGAAAUAUUGGUGGUUUCUAAAUGCUUUAAAUCUUUAACGUGGCUUUUAAACUCUAUAUUUCACUCAUUAAGCAAGUUGAGAGAGCUCUAUUAUGAUGAUCAGGAAGCAUACUCCCAUGAAACAUCAGAUCAAGUUUUUUGGACAUAAUAUCAAAGAAUAUUGUCAAUGCCACAUUCUUUUUUUCCAUUUUUUCUGUCCUUCAUUGAUUUUCAUUCAUAAAGUUUCAUUAAGCAGCUUUUUUUCAUCAGUAUGUCGUGUUAUAACAACUUGGGCUCAUAUAUGAGAAUGUCAUCAUCAAUUGCUAACAUCUUCUUAUUGUUUUUUACAUGAAACAAACUUUCCACUGAUCUGAUGAAAAGACACUAGAGCUCAAAAGAUACAAACUCCAAGAAAGCAGUAGAAACGAAAAAUUACAAAGGAAAUAGAAAUGCAUUCCAGUUAAGAUGUGUCUUAAAGAGAGCACUCAGUUGCUAACUUGAUUCAGGGUUUCCAUAUCAAAUUUUCAUACUUAGACCUCAUCUUCAUUCUCAUUAUGUGCAAUGCUAUUCAUUGUAUUUUCUUAAGUAUUUUUUCAUCUUUUCAUCUUUUACUCAUUUGUGAACUUUUACCAAUAGUGUAACUAGUUACAUGUGAUUGCAAUAAUGUUAAAUACAAUACAUUUUAACUUGCUAGCAUAUUGAUUUGUUUAGGUAACACUGGAAAUUUACACUCAUUGGAAUGCUUCCCCAGUCAUAGAGGGAAGAGAAUGGUUAGCGAUAGUAUUCAUUCAGCUUUGGCAUGUGAUGACAUCCUCACCGAAAUCCUCCUUCGUUUGCCAGAGAAAUCUAUUUUCAAACUUAUUCUCGUGUCCAAAAGAUGGCUAUCCUUGAUUUGUAAUUUUUCCUUUCAUCGUAGUUAUGAAAAGCAAUGGGGUGCACACACUCGCCUUUUUGGCUUUUUUGUAUGCAAUUUUCUUUACAUUGACAGACCACAAGAUGGGGUGAGGCGACCCCGGUCUGAGCCAGCUCUACCUCUACUUUCAACUUGUCAAGAGAGUGAUGAUUUAGUAUCAUCUGGAAUCUUAAGGAAACUUGGCUAUUUUAUUGACUACUCUGAUGGGCUUCUUCUCUGUGGUCGUCACCCUAAACAUUAUUAUGUCUGGGAUUCUGUCACCAAGUACCGACGCCAACUUCCUCAACCUCAAAAGCACUACAAAUAUCUAUGUACCGCAUUCAUUACAGAAGACCCCGGCUUAGAUUGUGGAGAUAUUGUGUAUAGAGUUGUUCGAGCAAACUGUGAAUGCAGAGUUGAUGUAAUUAACACCAUUUCUAUAGAGACUUUCUCCUCUCGGACUUGGACAUGGAAGCAAUCCACUCUUGUUUGUUCUUCAGAUUUUGCUUUGAGCCCGUGGACAGUAGGCACUGUGAUUAAAGGAGUUAUCCACUGGUUUGGAACAUAUCGAAGUCUAGCGAUUUAUGAUCCCGGAUUCGGAGAAAGGCGCAUAACUUCAAUCAAGCUACCGACUGGUAAGCUGACUCAGGACUACGAGGACUCCAUUUUAGGAGUGUCAUCGGAUGGGCUUUUGCAGUAUGGUCAAAGUGGGAAGCUUGGAUUGGAAACAUGGGUUCUCUACAAGGAACAUGAUGAUUCCUCAUCAUCCUACACCAUGGAAUUGGACACUCAUUAUGAGUACCGGUGGAUGCUACGACACAAAUUAAGCUACAAAGACCUGUGGAAGCAGAACCCGAAUUCAGGUCUUCGCUCUAAAGAAACUCAAAUAUUAUCGUUUAUUCGUCGAAACUCCGACUCUGUUUUCAUUAGGUUGGGAACAAGCAUCUACCAAUGUAACAUCAAAAGCAAAACACUGGAAGUGACUCCUUACCAUCAUGGUGAUUUUUCUAUUCCAUGGGAUUUUUGUAAAGUAGUGCCUUACUUUCAAAAGAUUUGGCCCCAAUCCCCUUUCCCUACCUCCCCAAACACAGUUAAGCAGCUACUAUGACUAUGAGAUGCCUGUUCUGUUGCCAUUUCUUCUUUUGUUAAUGAUGCUUGGGAGGUUGUCUCUUUUUGUUUGUAGAUAAUGACACUUCCCUUGCUCCAUUAUUCUAGUAGCCAUUUUUGUUUUAGUUUUAAGUUCUUAAGAAAUUAUGCUUAUUUACUAAAUUUCAUUUUCUUAUUUCUUAUGUGUACUUUUAGACUCGUUUCUUAAGUUGAGUAGUUUUAAAAGCUAUAUCUAUAUAAGGAAAAUGGUAUGUGUUUUAAAAGCUAUAUCUAUAUAAGGAAAAUGGUAUGUAUGACCCAUUUUGAUGAGAUUCAUUUUUGAGGACCCAAAUGAAAAACGUCCUACCUUCUAAAAUCUAAGAUUUUGUACCUCUUCAAGCAAUUUUUCCAACUUACCUCAAUUUUAUUUUUGCCUCUUCCUCCAUUACCUUUUCUUUCUUUUUCUUCCUCUCUCUCUCCUCUUCUUCUGCUCCUCCCCCUCUCGCGAGCGCUCAAAUGAGGGAAAUUAUGCCUAGAUUUGGAGGUGUUGCAGAGGAGAGCGAUUUGAGAGCAAAGAAAACAAGGUGAGAUUAGUCAUUCCCCAUGCAGUCGAGGGCUUUGAAGAAGGAAGAGCAAAUCGAUAAUUUCACAUAUGCAUGACAUCAGCAAAAGGUUGUCGAAAAGGUCGAUUAGCUGCUCAUGAUUUUUGAAAAGUGGGGCAUUUUUGGUUUUUGAAUGGUUAACAAUUCAAUUUUUUCCUAUAUAAAGGUUGUAGUUUCAAAAUGCUUCUUGUUUCUUAAAUUUGGAAAAAAUAUUUUUCAAAGGCAAAUAAAGUGCCACUAACAUAGUAAUAAAACGUCACACCAUGGUUUUGUUUAUUUAUUAUUAAGAUAAGUAUAAUGAGAAGCCAUUCAAAUUAUGAAUAUAACAACAUUUUAAAAAAAUUGUAAAUAUGACAAAGUCUAUGAAAAAUAUAUUUUUAUUGUUGAUAGACUCUUGUUAUUACCAUUUGCAAUUUAGUUUAUCCGUGAUAGACUCCGACAAACUUACUAUAGUUGCAAUUUUUUUAUAAAAAUAUUGCUAUAUACGUUAAUAUUUUAAAUUUAAGUGCUAUAUUUGCAAUUUUCUCUUAUUAAUUGGGUGAGUGAUUAAUGCGGUAAAAUUCUAAAUCUCAAAAUGAAAUUAUUUAAUUUUUUGGUUGUUAUUUGUAUAUGUGAUUAGAUUAUUACAAGUGUCAACCGCAUUAAAGUUUGAAUGAGAUUCGAAUAUUUUUCAUUAUAAUUGUGGGAGACAACAAUGAACUGAUUCAAAUUAUGAAUGGAUGUAAAUCGUAAGUCUGGGUGUAACGAUAAUCAUGGAUGUAUGAAAAUGAAAUUUCAAAUUUAGGUGUGACAUUUUGAGAAAUUAUAAUAAAAAUAUUGCUUUUGGAUCGAAGGGUGAGGAUGAAGGGUUGAUUUAUGGGAAAGUCAGUGUAGCAUUUGGCUCAGCAGAGACAUCUAAAUUCAUUUCUGUUGAGAGCGAGAGAAAAGAGAGACUUGGUAGCCAUAAAUUGGCGCGAAUUUAACGGGACUACCGAACUUACCGGUCUUUAUGAACAAUGUCACUCCCACAUUCCAUCCCAUCCACAUUCACUACCCCUCUCUCUCUAAAGCACAUAGUUUUUUUUUUCUUUCUCACAUCUCAAUACCUUCUUUUCCUUCAUUUUCUUCAUCCACUUCCUCCCCCCAAUGUCUCUUUUCUGCAUUUUCUUCCAUUACACUCCGACCCAUCUCCCAUUUUCUUCCAUUCCUUGCUUUCCCAUGUGAAUUUAGUCAUGAUUUUUGUCAAAUGGGCCAUUUUGGGUCAUUCUAGUUUUGAUCAAGGUGAUGUUUUCUUUAGCCCUUGUGUCUUUGGUAUGGUGUAUGAGUUAGGCAGCUGAAGUGUUUGAAGAAAGUACCCAAUCGUCAACAGGCUUCAGAUUGCAGCAUUAGAAAUGGUUGGUGUACUGCCAUCAUAUAUCUUGAUUUAAUCACACACACACAAAAAAAAAAGAAGUUCUAAACUAUAGCUUUUAUGUCUGGCUGUAAUAUUCAUUUGCUAGAUCAAAGGGGGCUAAGGAAUCACAAAAGAUGUAUUGCAUUGUGAUCUGAUGCUGCUGAUUAGAUUGAUAGCUGAAAAUGUCUUUUAAUUGAUUUCUGUUCAUAAUCUUCAAAUGGCCCUUGAAAUGAUGCAUGAUAAUAAAAAUGUGGGAAGUGAAUGACUGUAAGUGAUGAUUUUCUGCUCAUAGAGAUAUGUAUUGGGAAAGAUUUAGAAUUCAUUGUCUAUGUUGGAAUGUAAAUCUAAGGCUUAUGAUGGGGUGGGAGGAUGAGCAUUAGCAGGUGCAAAGUCGAUCAAUAUCCCCUAAUAACUGGGCAUUUUCAUCAAAGGGUCGAGAUUUUUCAGUACUAUGGAUGCUUGCUGUCAUAUAACUUUCCUAGUAAAUAUUUAUCUCUUGGGAUCUUUCUUUAGGAUAUCAGUUAGAAGCAAGUUCAAACCAAUCGUGUUUCCAUGAAAAAUGGAACAUAUAGAGAGCUUAAGAACAGUUGAGUUUGUGCUGGACUCCCCCCUUCUAUUGGGAGAAGAAUUGUAAUAAGCAAAGUUAUUUUGCUUUGGAAAGAAGUUACUGUUUCAAAAUAAUCCCUGGAUUCCCUUUUCAUAAUUUCUAUAGCUUCUUGGUAAGGAUGUGUAUACUUUUCAUAAAUGUGCUUCUUCAGACGUAAGUAUUAUUUCUUUUUAAAAAUAGUGCAAAUGUGAUAGUUUCUGAAUUAAGUUUUUUUUUCCAAAAUAUGCAGGGUACUCCAGUUAACAUUAUUGUAGGUUCUCAUGUCUGGAUUGAAGAUCCAGAAGAUGCUUGGCUUGAUGGACAGGUGUCCAAGAUUACAGGACAGGAAGCUGAGAUCGAAGCCAGCAAUGGAAAAAAAGUAGGCAAAGACCUUUUCUUUCUUUCAUAUUAUCAUUAAAGUUUUGCUAAAAGAAGAUUAUUUAUAGGAAGUUCAGAAGUCAGGAUAUAGAUAUAUAUUUUUGAACAAGAAACAAGAUAUACAAGAAUCCUUGCAUUUUCUCAAUAUAGCUACAGUUAAAUUACAAUUUUUUUGACUCAGAUGUUCCUUACGGUCUCUCUUAGAAACACGGCUUCACCAUUUAUCUCAACAAAUAUUAAUUUGUGUAUGCUAUUUGGCAUCUUAGGUUGUUGCAAAAUUAUCCAAAAUAUACCCCAAAGAUAUGGAAGCUCCAGCUGGUGGCGUUGAUGACAUGACAAAGCUAUCUUACUUGCAUGAGCCUGGAGUUCUACAAAAUUUAAAAAUACGAUACGAACUCAAUGAAAUCUAUGUAAAUUUUCACCUUUCAUAUUGUAACUAUCACUCUGUUGAAGAAAAGAAGGAUAUCGUAUAAUCUUCCUUCUUAUUGCAGACAUACACUGGUAAUAUUCUUAUUGCUAUUAAUCCAUUCCAAAGACUGCCUCAUCUUUACGAUGGUCACAUGAUGCAACAAUACAAAGGAGCACCAUUUGGAGAACUGAGUCCUCAUGUUUUUGCUGUUGCUGAUGUUGCAUACAGGUUUAAUUUCAACAUUUUAAUCUUAAAGAAAUUCUACAUACUGACAAUUAACAUUUAUACUAAAACAGGGCAAUGAUUAAUGAGGGUAAAAGCAAUUCAAUUCUAGUCAGUGGUGAAAGUGGAGCAGGGAAAACUGAAACCACAAAAAUGCUCAUGAGGUACCUUGCAUUUUUAGGAGGCCGGGCGGCCACUGAAGGACGAACAGUUGAGCAACAAGUGCUUGAGGUAUGAUAAAUUAGAACUUCAAUAUAAAACCACUAUUUUCUCCAAAACAGCAAGACACGUUUUAAGCUAUGUUUUCUUCCCUCAAAUAUUAUAUAUAGUUAACUUCUGAUUCAAGUCUCCUGGUAUUUUCUUCCUUUGACUUGAUUUACAGUCAAAUCCAGUGCUCGAAGCUUUUGGAAAUGCUAAAACUGUCAGAAAUAACAAUUCCAGGUAAAAUAUGUGGAGGAUUGAAAGUGUUUUUAUAUAAAAUGGUAGUGUUUGGUUAACACUUAAAAAUAUGCUUUUAACUUAUUAAAAGCAUUUUCUAAAAGUUUAGUUGAGAAAUUCUAGAACUUGAUAAAAAGCACUGCUUUUAGUGAAACAUUUAAUUACUUUUCUUUCGGAAGUGCUUAAAAAGAGUGUUUCAAUCAGAUUUCUUUUUCUAAACAAACCUUUCCACAUUCCCAGAAGUUGGAAAUUCAUUUCCCCUGGCAGUUCAAAGUACAUUCAUUAACUUUACUUCAUUUAAUGCAUGCAAUUUCCUCAUGAAAAUUUAUUCCUAAAAACUAAUAAAAGAAGCAAAUUUUCAUUUCUCAAAUUGUUCCUGAGAAUUAUUUUCUCCAUACAGUCGCUUUGGUAAAUUCGUUGAAAUCCAGUUUGACAAGCAUGGGAGAAUCUCAGGAGCAGCUAUCCGAACUUACCUCCUCGAGAGAUCUCGUGUUUGCCAAGUUUCUGAUCCUGAGCGCAAUUAUCAUUGCUUUUACCUCCUUUGUGCUGCACCUCAGGAGGUAUUCAGUAGUUUCUUAAACUAAGAAUGUUACAUCGUUUAGGACACAUGAUCGUGGAAUUGCCACAGUCCUGGUUUGUGAAUCAGAUUGUUUGUGAUAUUAACAGGAAAUUGAAAAAUACAAGUUGGGAAAUCCCAGGUCAUUUCAUUAUCUAAAUCAAUCAAAUUGCUAUGAGCUGGUUGAUGUAAGUGAUGCUCAUGACUAUCUUGCCACUAGAAGAGCUAUGGAUGUAGUUGGAAUAAGUGCGAAGGAGCAGGUAUGGUAUCUGCUGCAGCUUGUAACUAUUUCCUAAUUUUGAGCAUAGUUAAUCGUCUUCUUAUGUCUUUCCUCUCCUCUCUUUACUCUGACAGGAAGCAAUCUUUAGGGUUGUUGCUGCAAUUCUUCAUCUUGGAAACAUUGUAUUUACUAAGGGAAAAGAUGUUGAUUCAUCAAUUCCAAAAGAUGACAAGGCUAAGUUCCAUCUUAAAAUGACUUCAGAGCUUCUCAUGUAUUGAUCCUACAUUAAAAUGGUGCUUAUGAUUACAUCUUUUUAUAUUACUGGUAUUCAUCUAACCGCACUUUAUCAGGUGUGAUAAUGCUGGCCUUGAAGAUGCAUUAUGCAAGCGUGUCAUGAUCACCCCUGAAGAAGUGAUAAAACGUAGCUUGGAUCCUCAAAGUGCAGCUGUUAGUCGUGAUGGUUUGGCUAAAACUAUAUAUUCUCGACUAUUUGACUGGUAAGUUCCCCACUUUUAAAAGAUGUCAUUCGCUUUAAUGGCUAAUAAUUGAACUACACCCUGAAACUACUAUACAAGAUUGAAACUAGAAAACAAUACCAAGUUCCAUACGGUGUCUAAAUGUAUUUUAUCUCCCAUGCAGGCUGGUUGAUAAAAUUAAUGUCUCAAUUGGACAAGAUCCUAAAUCGAAGUCCCUGAUUGGGGUCCUUGAUAUCUAUGGUUUUGAAAGCUUCAAAGCUAACAGGUAAGGAAUAAUGGUUGUAAGUCUGGAUAUUGGUUCAAGUUUUCCAAUCGACCCAUAUAUCAAAAUCAAAGAGAUAAAAGAAAAACAAGCACAUGUAAGCAUUAGAGGCUACUGGUUGAUGGAGUGAAUUACAUAAGUUUAAUUGGAGUUCCAUAAUUAGCUUAGUUUGUUUCUUGUAACUUAGCAUUACUGUGAAAUUUUGUUCUCAUCAAAUGUCUUCCAACAAGCUCUUUUCAUGUAACUCGUAGAUUCUUCGUGUGAUUUUAAUCGAUAAAUACGGCCACGUUAUUUGUUAUUUAUCAUGGUCAUGUAUUAUUCACUGAAUUAUGUGCAUGUUCAUGUGCUUAUAUCUGUGUAAGCCUUGUAUUUGUACCUUUGGAAAUUCUUGUAACUUAAUUUCAGCAUAUCAUGCUGUGCAGUUUUGAGCAGUUCUGCAUUAACUUCACAAACGAGAAGUUACAGCAACAUUUCAAUCAGGUGACUCUCAGAAAUCAUUACACCAUUUAAGCACUCUUAACUUGCCUUUCAUUAAUUAAUAUACAUAUGUUUUUUGGAUGUCCAGCACGUUUUUAAAAUGGAACAAGAAGAAUAUACAAAAGAAGAGAUUGAUUGGAGUUACAUUGAGUUUGUCGACAACCAAGAUGUGUUAGAUCUUAUUGAAAAGGUUAGAUAUAUAUAUUCAUUUUUUCAUUAUUCUUAUCCAUUCAACAUGGUAGUGUAUGCAAAUGGAUGUACACAUAUCUUUAUGUAUAUAUUGUUCAAAAUGGCCAGUUCAUAAAUAUAUAUACAUCCGAUCAGCAAUAGGUGAUUAACAUAAUAAAUGGUCCAUCAAUAAUAUUGAUUAGACCGUUGAUUGGUUCUACUGGUAUUAAACCACAACACCAGAUAGACAAGUAGUGAAACAAAGAAAUCUACCAGUGCUUUGUGACCAAACCUGAUUAUUGUAAAUGGUUCCUUGAACAUUUCACCAUUAUCAGAUGGAAUAAAAAAGAGCAUUAAAAGGUUACAUUGAUGACCAUUUCAAUUUAACUUAUAUGAAAAAGUCUGUUCAGGUGAUUAAAACCUCAUAUGACCAUUGUUGAAACAUCUCUUUAUAGUUUUCUUUUUUCCAAAGUUCAACGGAGAUUCAAACCUCAAUCAAGGACAUGCUAGUUGAGUUAUGCACGUGUCGGCAAUAUCCCUUUGUAGCCAUGACUAUGGUUUUUAUAUAUUCUUAUAAUCAAAUCUUGUACAGUAAUAUUAUCAUACCUUUCUGAAGUUGGUUGUGGUAUCUUUAUUUAACAGAAACCUGGUGGAAUUGUGGCUCUCCUUGAUGAAGCUUGGUAAGUUUUUGUAAUUCAAUUAAUUCUCUAAAAUGUCACUUUUCACUGAGACUGACCAUUAUCAGGUAGCGAAUUUCUUGUCAUUAUACAAUUCUUAAAGAAGUUGUAGCUUAUGUGUAUUUUGUUCAACACUUCAAUUUUUCUAUGUAGUUCUAUCAAUUUUAACACGUAAGUUGUGCUUUUUCAUCUUUUUUUCAGCAUGUUUCCAAAGUCCACACAUGAGACAUUUGCUAACAAACUCUAUCAGACUUUCAAAGCACAUAAGCGGUUUAUAAAGCCAAAACUUUCUCGAACAGAUUUUACCAUUGCUCAUUAUGCUGGAGAGGUAAUAUGAACUCCAAGGCAUAAUUUUGUUCAUGGCAGGGAAGAUUCUUACGCUUACAAUUUAUGUAUUUGUUAUCAGGUUUUGUAUCAAUCUGAUCAGUUUUUGGACAAAAACAAAGAUUAUGUAGUUCCUGAAUAUCAGGAUUUGUUGGGUGCAUCCAAAUGUCCAUUUGUUGCUGGUCUUUUCCCCCCUCUAAAAGAAGAAUCUGCAAAAUCUUCCAAGUUUUCUUCAAUUGGAUCUCGCUUUAAGGUAGUUUUCUCUCAAUCAUCAAAAUAAUUUCUGUGAUAAGAACAAACAAUGAAUUCAAACCCCACAUAAAAAGGCAUUAGGAUGAAACUUCUUUUUAUCAAUCAGUUACUGUAUCUGAAUGUAACAUCCUAACUUGCCUUCUUGGAAAGGAAGAUAUUUUUUUGUGUUGAGAGAUCAUAACCUUAAGUACUGGAUCGUGUGUUUGCAGCUACAACUACAACAGUUAAUGGAGACACUAAAUUCCACAGAACCUCACUACAUCAGAUGUGUGAAGCCAAACAACCUCUUGAAACCUGCCAUAUUUGAGAAUGUCAACAUUAUGCAACAACUGCGUUGUGGUGUGAGUACUACUUUUCUUUCCUAUUUUGUUCAGCCAGUAACUGGAUUUUGAUUCUCUUUCUCUACAAUAAUUUCCAUGCUUUAAUAGGGUGUCUUAGAGGCAAUCAGAAUCAGCUGUGCUGGGUACCCUACUCGCCGUGCGUUCUUUGAAUUCAUUAACCGAUUUGGAAUUCUAGCUCAAGAAUCCUUAGAAGGAAAGUAAGUAUUUUCAGUUUCAAAUAUUUUACAGCUCUCUUUCACUCUCAUACACUCUUGAGUUUAGUGGUGUGGAAAACAGAGAGCACCUCUGGUAUUCAUUCUGUAACAAUACUGCUUAGAGGACUUGAUAUUCUGCAUUCUGAAACCACCUUCCUUUUCUUGGUGACAGCUACGAUGAAAAGACUGUUUGCAAAAAGAUAUUAGAAAAGCAGGGACUCAAAGGGUUUCAGGUAAGACAGAGAGCUUGUCUUACACCUACUUUUAUGUGAAAAAUACUUCUUUCGUGAAUAAUGAAUCUCUUUCAAAACUAAAAUAAUCUAACCUUAACUUUCACAAUCAUUACAUUAGCCAAUAGAAAUUUAAUCACAGGAUUAUGAUACUUUUUUCCAGUAGCAACGAUGAUGGAGUGGUUGUAUGUGUUUAAAACAUCUACUAAUAUCAAAUCUUGUUCUUAAUGAAAAAUUUGCCCAAGCAUGCAGUCAUAUAUGGUGAACAUGAGGCAUAUAUAUCAACUUGCAUUUUGCAGAUAGGUAAGACAAAAGUAUUCCUGAGGGCUGGUCAGAUGGCUGAAUUAGAUGCUCGAAGAGCAGAGGUAUUGAGUAAUGCAGCAAAGACUAUUCAACGGCGCACACGAACCCAUAUUGCUCGUAAACAGUUCAUUGCAUUACGAAAGGCAACCAUAUACGUGCAAUCUAGAUGGAGAGGUAAGGCAUUUGAAGCAACUUGCUGGUACAUGAGUUCUACAACAAUCAAUAAUGCUAUUUACUUUUAUGAAGGACCCCCCACCAAAUUGAGGAAUUUUUAAGCUUACCGUUAAGUACGUUGCUACGGUUCUUUCAUUACAUGCAACUACCAUGAUUACAGGAAAACUGGCUUGCAAACUUUUCAAGAAUUUGAAGAGAGAGGCAGCUGCUGUGAAAAUUCAGAAAAGUGCUCGAAGAUUUCAUGCAAGAAAAACCUACAAAAAACUACAAGCCUCAGUGCUUUAUGUGCAAACUGGAUUAAGGGCAAUGGCAGCUAGGAAUGAAUUCAGAUUUAGGAAGCAGACUAAGGCGGCAAUUAUCAUUCAGGUUCCAUACUUAUAUUUAAUUGAUUUAAGCAAUCUAUUCCUGUUAUUGUUAGAUUAAAUAUUUUCCUGUUAAUACAUAAAAUUGUAGGCUCGAUGGCGUUGCCAUAAAGCUGCCUCAUACUAUAAAAAACUUCAGAGAGGCUCAAUAGUUGCACAAUGUAGAUGGAGGGGAAAAGUUGCUAGAAAGGAACUUAGAAAACUUAAAUUGGUAAGCAAUGAUCAAUUUAUUUUCUUGUAUAGAAUUUUAUUUCAUACCAUAUACUUGAAAUUUGUCGAUUUGAAAUAUCCAUUUGAUAACUUGAAACCUUGUAUGCUUGGACGUAUGUACCCAGGUGGCAACCAACCAAGGAUGUAUCAAAUCUUUUAUCUGAUGUUACUCUGAUUAUUGAUUUGGAUAGAAGUAGACAAUUUUCGUGUAUUCUAUGUUAAUAAAAAUUUCAAACUCCAAGUUCUUUUCUGUCUCUUGUUCUCUGUUUUCAUAUUAGGCAACUUAAAAGCACUCUUUUUUCAGGCUGCAAGGGAGACUGGUGCACUUAAAGAAGCAAAGGACAAGUUGGAAAAGAAAGUGGAGGAACUUACUUGGCGCAUACAGUUAGAAAAACGCCUGAGGGUAAUCUUAUGCUAUUUUAACAUUAAAUUUUAUUAUAUUUGUCACAGGUGAUGUUUUAUACUAAAACUUAUCACUGGGUAAUAAACUAUGGAAAAUACUCCCCAGGAAGACAUUCAGGCAGUUCCUUUUCAACUAAAUAUAAAAAGAACCAGUCAAUUUGAAACAAUCAAUUACUUGUAGUUUUGAUCUUCCUUUUUGGUUGACCUUAGAGAACUGACAACUUGUAACAAAUUAACUACUUGUAGUCUUUUUCAUCCUUUAUGGUUGACCCCAGAAACAAUAGUUGUACUGAGAUAAAUAUUUCACCUAAUAAGCUUUGAAUCAUCUGUGCAGACGGACCUGGAAGAGGCAAAAGCUCAGGAGAUAGGAAAGUUACAAAAUUCUUUGCAAGAACUGCAGACUAAAGUUGAUGAAACUAACUCAUUGCUCGUAAAGGAGCGAGAGGCUGUAAAGAAGGCUGUUGAAGAAGCACCUCCUGUUAUUCAAGAAACCCAAGUUCUGGUUGAAGAUACCAAGAAAAUUGAUGAUUUGACAACAGAAGUAGAAAACUUAAAGGUAUUGAUGAUUUUGCUCAUCAUUUAAACUAAAUUUAACUAAAUCGUUUUUUUGUUUUCAGCCUCUUCUUUUCGUUAAUGGAGCUCUGCAUGCUGAGAUCACUAUAUUAGUGGCUAUUCAAGUACAUGAAAGUCAAUGAUUUGGCCUGAUGUCAUUAGUGACAAUUUUUCUUUCUAUUUUCCAACCUUUUCUUUAUUUUAUGGUUGAUUGGUAUUUCAGCUAGAUGAGAUGUGUUUCUAACAUUCUGUUGUUAUAUAUCAGCAUUAACACAUGUCACAUAAUCAGUCAUUCAUUGUUUAUCCCAUUCCAGAUGAUUGGUAAUUCCUUUUACACUGAUUAAUACAUUUAUUUUACGAAUUCUCAGACCUCACUGGAGACAGAGAAAAGCAGAGCUGAUGAAUCUGAGAAAAAAUGUAGUGAAAUAGAAAAGUCUAGAGAAGAACAACGUAAAAAGUUAGAAGAUACAGAGAAAAAAGCUCAUCAGCUCCAGGAGUCAUUGACCAGGUAAUAUCACUAUUUUGAAAAUAGAGUAAAGUUCCAUCAAUCACCUUCUUAGAUUGCCUCUAUCUAUAUAUUUAAUAAUGUGGGACUUGCUGGCACUGAAUUGUUCCAACUUUUUGUUGAACUUAUGUAGAUGGACAAUAUUUAACAUGUUUACGAAAAUUGCACUCAGAUUGCCGUUAAGAUUUCUAACAAAUGUAUCAAGGUUUUUUAGGGAACUCAUGCUUAUGGGCUCUGACUUUCAGUCUUUAUAACAAUCCUCUAUAUAAGUUUAAGGCACUUCAGUUGUCUUCUACCUUAGUAAGAGCUACUAAUUUGACAUUCAUGAAUUGAUUAACUGAACACUCUCUUGAUUAGGCUAGAAGAGAAGCUUUCCAAUUUGGAAUCAGAGAAUCAAGUUUUGCGCCAACAAGCUUUGUCUAUGGCACCUAAUAAAAUCCUCUCAGGACGGUCUAGAUCAAUUCUUCAGGUAUUAUGAGACAUUGCUAUUAUAUGGCAGAUUGAUAACUAAUAAUUAAUUAUAUUGUGAUGUUGGGGAUAUUUACAUGUGAAAUUUUUGCGACAAAUGACAGAGAGGUGCUGAAAGUGGUCAUUAUGGAGGAGAAGGGAGAACACCUUUGGUCAGUAAAAGUGUAAAACUGUUGUUGAGCAUGGAAUUUAUUUGAAGGAAUAAAUAGAAGUUCUUCAUUCCAUUUUGGUUUUUCUUACGUUUAACUUACUAUCUCAUUUACUGAAUCAGGAUCUACACAGCCCCUCUAUUAACCAAAGGGAUUCAGAAGUAGAGGAUAAACCUCAAAAAUCACUUAAUGAUAAACAGCAAGAGAAUCAAGAUUUGCUCAUUCGAUGUAUUGCGCAGCACCUUGGCUUUGCAGGAAACAGGCCAAUUGCUGCUUGUAUCAUCUACAAGUGUCUGCUUCAGUGGAGGUCUUUUGAAGUCGAACGCACCAGUGUGUUUGAUAAGAUAAUUCAAACUAUAGGCCAUGCAAUUGAGGUUCAAACUGAUUGACCUUAAAUAUUACCGCUCUUUUCUGCAUGUCUUUUUAGUUUAGAGUCACUGCUAACAUGAAUACAAACACCAUUUUCUUUCCAGUCUCAGGAUAACAAUGAUGUCUUGGCGUAUUGGUUAUCCAACGCUUCAACGCUUCUCUUACUGCUUCAACGUACAUUGAAAGCAAGUGGUGCUGCUGGAAUGGCUCCACAACGUCGAAGAUCAUCGUCAGCUACAAUAUUUGGGAGGAUGACGCAAGUUAAUACAAAAGAAUUCACAAAUCAUUGUUAUUAUAUACAUAAAUUACCAUCAUACUUAAAUUUAUCUGAUGUUUUUCUUCUCUAAACUUUUUCUAGAGUUUCCGAGGAGCUCCACAAGGAGUCAAUCUAUCCUUAAUCAAUGGUGGAACAAGUGGUGGAGUGGACACUUUAAGGCAAGUUGAAGCGAAGUACCCUGCUCUGCUUUUCAAGCAGCAGCUUACAGCUUAUGUAGAGAAAAUUUAUGGAAUGAUAAGAGAUAAUCUGAAGAAAGAAAUUUCUCCAUUGCUAGGAUUGUGCAUCCAGGUAUGUAUAUUUAGAGUUUAUACCUUAUGAAUUAUCUGGUUCACUUCUUUAGUUUAAUUUCUUCCUAAUCACCAAUAGUCUAACCCUUAUUCAUGUAAUAUGGAAAAGGCACCAAGAACAUCAAGGGCAAGUUUGGUGAAGGGAUCUUCUCGUUCUGUUGCCAACACCGAGGCCCAGCGUGCCUUAAUUGCUCACUGGCAAGGAAUCGUGAAGAGCCUCGGAAACUUCUUAAACACCUUAAAAGCAAAUCAUGUAUGCAGAACCUUUAGCUUCUUUUUGCAAAUAUGGUUGACAAGUUAUUAACUUAUGGUUUCUCAAGUUGAAAUUCUCUUUAAUGAUCGUUUUACUCUAGAAGCAUACGCAGGUGUAAUUGGUUGUUUUGGACCUUUUUAGUUAAUUUCUUUUUCUGAAUCGUAUAUUCUUUCUCCUUCCUAUGUCUAAUGUCAUUAUAGGUACCCCCAUUUUUGGUUCGCAAAGUCUUCAUACAAAUAUUUUCUUUCAUCAACGUUCAACUGUUUAACAGGUUUUCAGCCCUCCUAUUUCUUGUUCUUGAGGUACUUAACUAAGAGCUUUCUCAAUCAGCAAACAUGUUUUCUUUCUUUACAGUCUUCUAUUACGACGAGAAUGUUGUUCAUUUAGCAAUGGUGAAUACGUCAAAGCUGGGCUGUCCGAAUUAGAGCAUUGGUGUUAUAAAGCUACUGAUGAGGUACCUCGAAAACGCUGCUUUAUCUUAUUUAUUUUCUUUAAACGGUUACUGACUGAUAAAAUUAAAAUGCAGUAUGCAGGUUCUGCUUGGGACGAGCUAAAGCAUAUUAGACAAGCGAUCGGGUUUCUGGUAUCUCCCCAUCCUUCUAUUAUGUUCAAGUCCUCUCUCAAAAACUUCUUCAAUUGGACAACAGGAAAAUAAGCUAAAUUCUUGCUUCAAUACUGUAAUAGGUUAUUCAUCAGAAGCCAAAGAAGACAUUAGAUGAAAUAAGUCACGAUCUGUGUCCGGUAAGUGGCGUGUAAGCAAUUGGUGUACAAUACACAUACAUAAGUACUGUUUUUAUGCAGUUACUCUCCUAAUGACCAAACCAAAUUCUUCAAUCACAGGUACUAAGUAUACAGCAGCUGUAUCGUAUAAGUACGAUGUACUGGGACGACAAAUAUGGCACCCAUAGUGUUUCACCCGAUGUAAGAUUUUAAACAUUGUAUUUCAUCUCUUGUAGUUCGACUCUAAAGAUCUAUGUUUGAACCACUCUUGUCUAUAUCAUUUUUGCAAAAGUUCAUAAAUCUUUAUUGUUCAUCCUUCUCCUAGGUUAUAUCCAAUAUGAGGGUGUUAAUGACCGAAGAUUCGAACCAUGCAAUUAGCAAUUCAUUUCUAUUAGACGACGAUUCAAGGUUAGUAUCUUUUUACCAGGAUUUGAAGGACAGUAAACUUAUAUUUUUCUCAAUCUUUGUGAAAAAAAAAAAUCAUGAAGGGCCUUAUUUAUAGACUAGAAGAAGAAGAGUCCAGCAAACAUGAACAACCUUAACAUGUUUAUUGGUUGCUUUUGUACGGCAGCAUUCCAUUCUCAGUUGAUGAUUUAUCAAAGUCUAUGGAACAAAUAGACAUCGGAGACAUCGAACCACCACCGCUGAUUCGGGAAAACUCAGGCUUUAGUUUCUUGUUACCACGAACAGACUAAUAGACAAAUCUCCGAUCUCCUUCUCUCUCUCAGAGCUUAAAUUGUCAAGAUCCUGUCUGAAUUGGAACCCUCCCGCAUGCUUAUUUCCUCAAGAGGUUCUACAGAUGCAAAUAUGCCUUGCAGUUUGAAGUGAAAUGAAGACAACUCUGCCACAAAAUGGCUAAGAAAUUGCUUCAAAUCACUUUCCUAACAUUGUAGUUCAAAUUUCUUCACUAUACUUUGUAUGAGUUUUAGAUUUUCGGAGACAGUCAGUUGAAGUAGAAGGCGGUAUCAUAGAUUUCCACAUUUUCUUUGUAUUUUAGUUGUAUUUUCUCUGAGAUCGUUUCCAUUAACUUUAUAAAUAAUAAGCCAUCAUCAGUUCAGAAUAAUGUUUUUUUCUUUAUCAAAUUGCUUACAGAUUGGUAAGCUUCAUAUCAACUUAGUUUGACUCAAGGAAAAGAGCUUAAAUAUUUAAGAAUUAGCUGGUUGAGUUAUUACACUACAAAAUACUCAUACUGUUUUAUUCUAUCAUGUGCGAAACCUUUAAACAAAGCACCAAAACAGUAUAUCAAGCAAAGCUGUAUAAUUUGCUUGUAGUAAUUAAUUGCUCAAAAUUUGAUCUCUGACUAAAGUGUCAAUCAACUCUCCCAGAUUGAGUAAGAAUUCAACCCAAUACGGAUCAAAUCAACGAGUUUUCCUUACUUUCGUCCUAUUUCACUCAAAAGAUUGAAUGGAGAUACAGAUAGUGUAUCAAGUUGUUUCUACUGCCUUGGUUAUAACAUUAAGUAAUCUGAUGAUCAAUAGAAGAAACUUAGCACUAUUCCCUAUUAUUUAACUAAAAGCACUAAUCACCCUCUCAAAGGUCCAUUGUUUAUGAUCAUAUUCUGCAAUUUAUUGAACUAAGAGAGAAAACAAAAUAGCGUGGUCAUUGCUUAAGCUAAAAGACAGGCUUAGAAAAAUUUAGAAAGUUAGUAUUUACCUAUAUACUUCAAUCCUAACAACACCAAAGUAGGAAAGAUACUCGACUCCUAAGCGUAGGAAUCGAAGAUGUUGGUCUAAGUUGAUUUAUUUAUAUAGAACUUUAAAGUUUUGAUUUGAUAUAUACACAAUUAUUAGUUUGAAAUUUUAAUUGAUAAUUUAAUACAAUUCCUGAUGUUUACAGCUAUAAAUUGAUUUCUUUCUCCAAAAAGUAUCUAUAAAUUGAUUUUACCCAGAGAUUUAAUGAACAUUGGCACAAAAAAUAAAUUAAAGGAAAAAAAAUGCGAGACCAUUUUGUUUCUAUCAAAAUGUUUUUAGGCCAACCUGCAUUGUUCGAGGGACAAUUUAUAUAUAUCAGUAGAAAGUUCAGAUCUCCAUACCUUCAUGUUCAUGUUAUGCUAAUUAUAUGUGAAAAUAACGUGGGACAUUCUAAAGAUUAAAAUGUUUGUCUAUAUAUAAUUGUAGAUCAAAUGAUUCAAUAUGAACAUGCACCGUACUAAUAGCAAGAUUAUUAUAAGUUAGUUUAAAGUUGAAACAUAAUUAUUAAAUUUAAACAUCUUUACAACUUUUUUACUUACAACGAUAUUGGUUGACAUUUAUCAAUAUAUUCAUCAAUAUUCUAUAAAAUAUCGAUAUAAAUAACGACAUAUCACGCGAUAUUUUAGUCCUUUUGGUGGUUUGUUUGUAAAGAGGAAAACAAAAAGAAAAUAACAUGAUAACCCUUGUAGGUUAAGUAUAAUUAGUGACAAUUUUAGAAAUAAGAACCUUUUUUAAAAAUUGUAAAUAUAACAAAAUCUACAUGUGAUAAACUUUCUAUAGACUUUGACAGAUUUUGAUAUAUUUACAAAUUUUAAAUUUUUUUGCUAUAUAUGUAAUGACUAUAUUUACAAUUAUUCCAAAUAAUAAAGAACAGCCCUCAACUAUUUCCAAAGCACAUACACCAACAGAAUUACUAUGCAUAUUGUUCCUCCUAGUGGGCGUAUUGAGCAUCAAGUUUGAGUGAGAGUAGGUAAGACCCUCACCUACACGUAAGAAUACGAAGACUAUUGUAUUAGAUUAUUACGUGAAAGCGAAUGCAAGCCAAUCGAAAGAGAGUACAGGAGAGGAAGAGUGCUUUUAUCGUAUGAGAACAUUAAGAUCACGAUAGACAAUAUAAAUACCGUAAGGAUGCAUUAUACUCUAUGAGUUUAGAUAUCAAUAUGUGUAAGUUUUACAGUUUGGAAUAGUAAUGUUACGACCACAGUGAGCUAGGGGCCGUAUCCGUAAAAGAAGAACUAUUCAAACAGUACUGUAUAAAGAUUUUUUUUAAAAAAAGGAAAGGAAAGGAAAAUCUCAGGAAGUGAUGAUCUAGUUUACUUUAGUACAUGAAUCAAGUCAAAUUUGGAGUUUGAAUAAAUAUUGAAAAUUUCAAAAUGGUUUCAAUUAUGAUUAUUACUAGUCCACAUCAACAAUGGCUUUAGUUGUCUAAACUUUUCAUGUGCUGCAUACUAUUAUACAUAUACAACCAGUCAAACUGCAAAUCAACAUCAAUCACUGUCAUUAUAUAUUUUUCAAUCAGGAAAGAAAAAAACAUAAAUAAAAUCAAAAUUACAAAAUAAAUAAAUUGCUUUGAUCAAACAAACAAAUCAAUCUUCUAUUGUCUUGACUUUGAAUGAUUACUUUGUAUAUAUAUAUAGAAAGAAAAAUAGUGUUCUAGAUGCUUUAAACCGAACUCCUUGUAUGACUAUUAUUUAUUAUUCCAGUUUCAAACUUCCAAUUUUUUUGGUGAUACAUUGAAUAAUAAAAUUAUUAUAGGUGUCAUUAGUUUUAAAUUUGAGAAGGUCAUUGUUAAUAACUAUAAGUAGAAUUCUUUAAUAUCUUACUAUAUAUUAACUAUUUUAAAAUAUUUGACGUAUGAGCAUGAAAUGGAUGUUUAGAAUAUGAUGAUUAUGUACACAAUUAAUUAACAUGUGAUGAGGAAAUUUAUAUAAUAUAUGGAUGUAAACUUGUUAUUAAUUUUUUUUUUAUCUAAGGUAUAGUUAUCUAUAUGGUUGGAAGCUACCCCAUGCAACGUCCAAAGGCCAUGGACAUACAAGUCCACUUUUAAGAAAAAUUGAAUUAACCAGUCAAGUCAUUGAAUAUAUAUAACAAUAAAAAUAUAACGAGUCACUCUCGAUUUAAUACCUUAGUAGCCUUGGGUGCCAAAAGCUUGUAGACAUCACACUAAUGCAAGAAGAAACUUUCAAGCAUGUUAGUUGGUUUGGAAAUCGAUACCCAACCAAGAAAAUGGAACUAGAGGUCAAGUGCAUGAGAUGCCUCCAAUGCGUGUGAAGUUCUAGACGCCGAAUCAUUUCAAUCUAUGGAUGUUAAACUAAAAUAUUUAGAAGAAAAAAUUUCAAUUUAUAUCUUCCACCCUUUAGGGUCGGUAUCAAUUUAAAUCUUAAAUUUUUUUAUUACUAAUUUAUAACUUCCUUCAUAUUUUGUCUAAAAGAUAUCGUGUGGUACACUAUAUUUUUUAAAUUAAACGACGUCUAGGUUAUAUGUUUUACAAAGUGAAUCAAUUUAAUUAAAACUUUAUAUUAAUAUGGAUUAUGUUUGAAAUUUUUGCAUUCAUAUGUAAAUGUACCAUUAACGAUUAGGAUUAAUUAUUGUAGGGAUAACUUUUAGCAAAAAUCUUAAUUAAGAGUAAAAUCCAUUUAAUCACUUAUAUACUAAAGUUUAAGGAUUUAUUGAUAAAAGUAUAAGUUUCACACACGCUACUGAUUCACACAAAUAGAAAUAUAGAGUUUAAUUAAAUUGAUAUUCUUGAGAUACAACUACAAUUCUACAAGUAUGAAUUGGUAUUAUAUGUGGAAGAAGUUGACUAAUAUUUGAAGCAAAUGUUGGAAAAGAAUCACAUAGUUGAAUUGAAAAAUAUUGCAGUUCACAGAGACUAAGGAUUUUGUUAAAUAAUUAGAGGAAAAAGAUUUUUCUAUGUUUUGUAUUUAUAUUUUAAAAAUCAAAGUUUCCUAAUCUUAAUUAUGAGCUGUUGCCCUAAUCCAAACCAAGUGAUAGCUUUAUAUAUAUAUAUAUAUAUAUAAUUUCUUUCAAUUCAUAUGUGGUGAGAGAUUUGAAGAGGCAUAUAUAACUUUAAUAUCCAAUUCAACUAUAAUUGAGUUUGAAAAAUAAUGAACAUUUUGAGGAUAAGUUUAUUAUUAUAUAUUUAUUAUUUCUUAAAAUGAAUUGACUUAAAAAUUGGAUAAUAAUAUAUAUGUUACAUCCACGUAAUUAUUAAGUCAGAAAAAUUCAAAAUUUUGGAUAGUUAUAACCCAACUAAUUAUUAUUUUAAAAAAAGUGUGUAUAUAUACAUAUAUAUUGGUGAAAUAAUAAGAUGAAAAUAAGUAGCAAAUAAAUAUUAUUAGAAUUUGGUUUACCAAAACAAAACAUAACUUUUAUUUCUUGACCUCAACAUAUAUAUUUAUACUCUCCAGUCUAAGUUAUCUUUUCAAUUUUUUAUUUUUAACAAACUAAGUAUAAUUAUUCAACUUGACAUUAUUAAUACCCACGAGUGGGAUUUGUGGUUGGGAGGCUCCUACUUUAAUUCUACUUAAAAAACAUUACUAUAUUUGAUAUCGUAUUAAAUAUAAUUUACUUAAAUCAAAAUAUUCUAUCUUAAUUAUUAUGUUAGUGUGAGCAUAACUUAACAGAUCUACAAAGAUGUUAGUGACAUAUGUGGUUCAUCAAUGAAAUAUUUCAUCUUAUAUUUUUUCUCUUUCUAAAAUUAGAAAGAAAAAAAAUACAUAUUUUCCCUAAUCAUUGAUUUUUUAAUAAAUUAUUGAACAAAUGAAGACCAAAGACAAGCAUAUAGAAGUAUUGAUUUCUAAAUUAUAUUAUUCAUAUUUAGGAUUUUUAUAAAAAAAAAAAGUCUUGAACACAGUUGUUUGAUUAUAACCCUAAUUAUUUUUUAUUAUUUUUUUGUUUCUUUUUAAAUUUAGCUUUGUUUCCUUACCAUUGAUUUGCCAUGGUUUUCAUCAAGUAGAUAACAAAAAAAAAGUUUUUUUUAUGAACUAAAAUUUCAAAUUAAAGAUCAAAAUAUAAAAAACCAAGUAUUCAUACAAAUGAAGGGAAAAAAAACAAGUGAAAGUAGUUGUUCAUAAAUUUAAUAAAGACACAAAACAAAUUAAUUUUCAAAUAUGUGUCUGCACAACAAUUGGUCCUAAUUGAAAUAAGCAAGUUCAAAUAAAGUAUAUAUAUAUAUAUACUUGAAGCUUGAAAAUUCACUUUUUUUUUGCAUAUAUAUACUUGAAUUCCUAACCAGACCAACAAAAAGAGACAACCACAAAUAUAAUCUAUUGAAAAAAACAAGAAGAUUGAAACUCCAUAAUGUUGUUGGGAAGAAUAUUGUUAUUAUUUUGUGUUUCAAAACAACCUUGACCAUCAAAUUGGAGGAGCGACUCCAUGUGAUGAUCAUCUGAGAACUUCAAAACUUCCAUUUCAUGACGAUCUGCAUGAAACAUUGCAGAUGGAGUUCGGGCACAGUCGGAGAGCAAUUUCUGGUUCCUCCGGCGAGUAGGAGUAUUGGAGUCAAAGCCGGUGAGUUGCUGAACAAUGGCUCUGAACUCAAGUGCAUUGCUUGCUUUGAUCAUCAUUGGACUUGAAAUGUACUUUACUUUUAUGGGUUUUCUCUGAACUUUUGUAGGGUUUUGGUUUUGGCUUUGGCUUUGGCUGUGGUUGUGGUUAGUGUAUUGAUUCUCUCCACACUUCCCCAUUAGAGAGAGUUAGAAAGAGAGAGAUAUCUCUCUCUUGCUUUUGAACAAAGAAUUGGGUUCUAUAUAUAAUAUUGAUACCUAGAGAUAAAGAUGUAGAGAGUUGGAGAG